rnacentral:lncRNA from 1 species
UUUACUACUACUUCUCCAGGAUUUUCAGGCACCUCAGAUUCUCAAGCACAAAGAUAGAAUAAAGAUGUCAGAGUACCUUCCUCCAGAAAUCAUAACCCAAAUUCUUCUUCGGCUACCCAUCAAAUCUCUUCUUCGGUGCACCUCUAUCUGCAAAUCUUGGAACUCCCUAAUUAAACACACUAGAUUCAUCAACAACCACCUUAACCUCAAUUUAGACAAAACAAGCAAUUCCCCUUUGCUCCUUCUCAGGCACUGCCCCAAGGACCCCACUAGAGAGCUCUAUUCUCUACACUUAGACAAUGGUUCAUUCCAAGAACACUCAAAGCCAGAGCUUCCAGUUCAGAGCCUCAAUGAGUGUUUCCGAAUCGUGGGUUCGUGCAACGGAUUGAUUCUCCUCUCGGAUGAUUACCUCACAGAUUACAACAUGUUUGUUCUAUGGAACCCCUCCAUUAGAAAGUUCAUCACACUUGCCAAGCCUCAUGUCCCAAAAUCUCCCCAUCAUUCUGUUUAUGGCUUUGGCUUUGAUUCUAAGAAAAAUGAUUACAAGGUAGUAAGACUGGUGUAUCUCCACCAAAAUGAAGGCCAUGCUUGCCCGGAAAUCGAGCUUUAUUCGCUAAACUCAGGGUCUUGGAAAAGCAUUACAUCAGCUGCUCCCAGUUAUCUGAUUGCUCAAAAUUUUUGGGGUCAAGUUUUUGUCAAUGGGGCUGUCCAUUGGGUUGCGUCUUGUAAGAAAGGAAAUUGUUUUCGCAAUAUGGUUUUGUCCUUUGAUAUGAGUAAUGAGACUUUCCAGGAGAUUGAGCUGCCAGAAGACUUAGCUUGUGAGUUGCCAACUAAGUACAUGGCCAUUUCGGCUGCCGGCAAGUCCAUUUGUGUAAAGCACUUUGAUCAAAAUAAACAUACUAUGUGGGUUUUGAGAGAGUAUAGGGUCGUGGAAUCUUGGGAAAAGCAAGUCUCUAUAGAUGUACAUGGCACUCCCAAUUUCAGAGUCCUGCAGGUUUUAGGCUGUAGGAAGAAUAAUGGUGAGUUUCUAUUAGAAAGGUAUGACCAUGGAAGAAAGAUUGGAGAGUUCGUCUCUCAUAAUCCCAAGAACAACACAAAUGAGUGUCUUGGAAUUCACACAGAUCCAGGGUAUUCGUGUAUUGUAUAUUACACAGAAAGCCUAGUUUUACUCGAUAAGACGAGCUGAUCGAUGCAGAUUUCAUGGAGGAAGAAGAGGAAGGAACCGAAAAAUGUAGGUGCUUUGUUUUCUUGUUCAUUAUAUCUUGAUAUAAUACUGUAUGCUUCCUCAUUGGAUUAUAAGUUUCUUUUAUGUGUGUGUCUCUUGAUGAUGAGAGCGUUCUACAAACAAAAUAGAAGAAUUUCCUUUUUCUGUUGGAUUUGGUUAUAGUUUGGAUGUUAGAUGAUGAUCUUGGACUCAAAAGUUUCCAGUUUAUGAGAUAUAUAUGUAUGUGUCAGGUCAGCAAGAAUACGACUUUGUUAAUAAACGUCUCAAACCAUUAAUAAAUAUAAUUCGGGUUAAUGUAAGUUUCCUAAUAAAUAAAAUGAAUUUGGAAUGAUAGGACACAAAAAUAACUCAAUCACCACCAUAACCCCUAAAACUCAAGUGCUAAUUUGACAUUCUUGCCCAAUCCAGCCUUUGCCCCUCCUUCCUCUAGCAAAAUCCCCAACAACACAAUAACAAUCAUCCAAUGAAUCACUAGGCAAGCUCGGGAACUCCACUUUCCUUUCGAAGAAGCUCUAACCUCCAUGUUUAGUCUUCUGUUUUCAUCUUCCUCCUUCCUCAAUCUUUUCAAAAGUCCAAGUACCAAACUCUUGGAGGGUUCAUAUAUCUUUGGAUGAUACCGGUCAAAGAAUGUGCAACCUUCUCUUUUCUACACAGCGAAAACUAAAAUAAGAAAAAAAAAAAAUACAGGUAAACUUUGGUAAAUAAAAGAGAUCGAUACACUUAUGCACUUCUCCCAAGUUAUCUUCAGUCCACGAAGUCAUCAAAAAAACAUUUAUUUUCACAUCGAACCCUGGGUGCGUCCAUUUCUAUUCUCAAAUUUGUAAACAAGGUACUAUGGAUCCAAUGUUGUUGAUUUGGGGCUCAUUUCGGGUAUAUUAGUUAAAUCAAGAAUUCUAUAGUGAGGGUCUUGUAUAUGGCCCUUAGGUGAGGCCCUAUCUCAUAACCGUUGGAUCAAAUUGGUUAGGGUGAUCCAACGAUUAAGAGAUAGGACCUCGCGUAAGGGCUAUAUAUAAGGCCCUCACUAUAGAAUAACUCUUGGUUGAACAGUAGUGGCAGGCCAACAUAAGCCCUCUAAUUGUUUUGUCCACAUCAUCGGCAAACACAUGUCGGUCCUCUAAUUGUUUUGUCCUCUCAAAAAAAAUAGGGUGCUAUGACUGAAGAGAGUUUAGUCUUUUGUCAUAACACAUGACCCAACAAUCUUCUUAAAUGUAAUAUUUUUAUGUAUGAGUAUGUAAAUGCCUAACAAAAAGUGUGAUCAGGCAUUAAUUGUUUAGCUUCUGUACAUGAAACUGUAAAGCUUCCCAAUUGGAAUAUUAAUACCAAUAUAAUUAACACGAUCUAAUACUGAUCAAUUGAUCAUUAAUCAUGGGUUUUGUAUGUUAUUAUUUCUAUUUCUGUUUUUGUUAUUAUUGUAGUAAGUUACUGAGUAUAUUCAUGUUCCCAUGAAUUUGUGGGAGCAACUGGUUUAACUUUUAUAUUUAAUUAAUGCGUAAUUCAUAAUUACGAUUAAUUAGGGAAAGGGGAGUGAUCACCUACAUCUCAUCCCUGUACCUGUAGAUUGACAAUUGACACUGCAUUAAGGACCUAUUUGACGUUGAUACCAGACCCUAUUUCCUGCCACCAAAAAAGAAAAGAGCUCCUGUCUCUCCCAGCAGCUUGCAAUCUUGUCACCUGUAUCAACAUUCAUGCAGUUACAACGUUUCAAGUAUAAUCCUAAUUCAUGAAAAAGUCAGAUGUUCACUGCAAUUUUUGUUUUCCUAUUUACCAACAUAUACUUCUUCAGAGAAUUGAUGUAAGCGCCACAAUGAGAAAUUCUUUUGUUGAGAUUCGACAGAGUCAAACAAACCAGCAAAUAAACAAACAGUGAUGCAUGCAAUAUGGUUUCAUAAAAUUCAGGGCAGAAAAGUGCAACACAUUCUGUCAUUGCAGCAUCUCACUUAGUGGUCUUUAUCUCUAUGAUACUGUGUCACAUUCUAUACAAAGCCUAACUAGAAAAUAGAGUGGUUAGAUGAUAUGGCCUUUUAAUUGCCUUCAUAGAUAUGACCUCCUCUUUUGUUUCUUAUUUAAUAUCUUACAUGUGAAUUUUUUUUGAAAAUACAGUGAUAAGAUCAUAUUGUGUCUAUAAAGCCCUCAAUGAUAUACGUAAAGACUAAAAACUAGGGCAAGCAAUCUAAAUCACCAUAGAUGGGAAAUGGUAAAACAAAUUUCCAGAAAGGUUAUUUAUUCACUUCCGAACACUUUCUCACAAGCUAUUUGAUGAUCAGUGACAGUUGGAGAGGAGAAGGAAUGAUGGUUUAGAGUGGAUGAGAAGAGAAAAAAGAGAGUAGGUAAGGGUACUUACAAGCCGUUCACAAAAUGGUUUUUUGACUCUACAGGCCUCUUCGAGUUCACGUUGCUUUAUAUACGACAUCGACACCACCUCUGAGGUUAUUUCCUUCUUCACUUCCUUUGGAAAGCAACUGAGAAUUUGUUCGUCCUCCAAAGACAGAGCUCUAGUCCCUCCCAGCAGCUUGUAUUCUGCACCUGUAUUAACAAUUGUGAUGUUUAAAGUAAAGGCAACAUAUAUCAGUUGUUCCACACAAUUUAAAUUAUUUAACAAAAAAUUCUGAUGAUGAGCAUGCAAUAUGCUUUCAGAAAAAAAGAAAAAAAAAAGAGGUGCCAUGACUAAAGAGAGUUUAGUCUUUUGUCAUGGCACCCUAUUUUUUUUUUCAAAUUCAGAGCUAAAAUCCAAAAAGACAAAAAAAAAAAAAAAACAGUUUACAUUUUAUUUCAGAGCAGAGUAUUUCUUGUUACUUUAGGCACCAAUAAAACAGUAACUUCUAUUCAGAAAGUCUCAGAACAAACUGAAUUUUCUACCAUCAUAUUCAUCAUGUCAGACAAAUUGAAUUUGUUAGCAUUUGACAAUGUGAAACAUCAAACGCAGACCCAAAACAUGAAACAAAAGAAAAGGUUUAGCAUUUGAAUUCAAAGAAGAGUGUUCCCUUUUAUUUUAGGCACUAAUGCAACAUAAGUAACUUCUAUUCGUAUAGUAACCAUGUUUAGUCCUAUUUAGUGCAUUAACAAGUUAAUGCCUGUUCAUUUAGAAUGUAUCAAACAAUAUACAUCAUUAACUGAAUAAAAUAUCGAAAUAAAAUAUUUCAAUUAUCAUUUACAUACUAAAGAUUUUAACAAAAUUUCCCCAACAGAAAGGUUUUACAAGCAAGACGGCUUAUGAUGGCGGUAGAAAAAUUAUCUAAAGUGUUUCUGUAUCGAAAGAUGCAGAGAAGUAAUCCCUCCCAAAGAAUUACGCCUUCCCUAAUCACCACUUGAAAUGGAAAAUAUCAACAAUGACUAUCCAACCUGGAACUCCGCCAUACUUCAUUCUUAAACCACAAUAGCAAAGCACUAUCAAUUGCUUCACUGCUGCAUAAAUAUCAUUAACAUGAAAAGGAUCAUGUAUCCUAUAAAAAAUAUUAACAUGAAAGUGAAAGCAACUAAAACUACUAAAAUAUUAACAUGUAUCCUAUAAAUGAAGGCAUUACUACUAGAAUGAAACAACGGAAAUCCCCCAUUUUCAAAGCUUUUCAUCGGUUGAUAUAAGCCAUAAGGCCACUCCUCAUGACAACCUGGAUCAAUAGAAAAUAUUUUUGUCCAAGAUUUUUCUUCACCACAAUCUUUCAUUACCCACACAUACAUAGGAUACAUAAAAGCAACUUCACACACACAAAGGCAGUCACCUAAAACUCCCAUGCUAACCCGAUACUCUCUUUGCAGUUCAAAAGGAGGUGGCUGAACUGACUGAAAACUCCCAGUGUCCAUGUCAAAAGAAUCUAUAUAAGGCGAUGAAAGCCAACAGCAAAACCAAUAAAGCGCUCCUUUCAGAUAGGUGGUGAAGUGGUGAAUUCUACUUUAUUUUUGAAGGGAGCAAAACCUAAACAUUCCCAUGAGCCUGUACCAAGUGUUUAUACCUCGGCUGCCCUAAAGGGAUCCAGUGUUCCUUGCUCAGAGAUUCUUAUCACCUUGUACUGGUUAGUCUUCGGACUGAAACCAAAUCCACAAUCAAUAGAUCGCUUUACAUACUCAAGCUUAAAAACUUCAGGAAGGUGUAUAUACUCACCGGUUAUUGGGUUGCACACAACAACAGCGUCAUUGAUGAAUGGUUUAGACAAGCAAAGCAAUCCGUUACACGAAUUCACCACCUCAUACUUGUGACCAGCUGGACAUACCUUGAUGCAAAGCUUCUUUUUAGUUCCAGAUUUCCUAUUGGCAUCAUUGUGGGUAUUGAGUACCUCCUCAGCAUUGCGCAAUGGGAUUUUAUAUUUGGCAAGAUUCAUGUGGAACUGAUGCCCGUUGCACUCAUUAAAAAGAAAGUCAGAGGCAUCUUAACACGUACAGUUGCUGUGCUCGAAAUCAAAAUCAGAGCUAUCUUCAGGCUCGACCAGAUAAAGGGUUCUUGACACACAAGUUGGAUUAGAGGGCCGGGCCAAAGGGUAGGACUCUGCUUGUGCAAAGUGCAGCUUAGCAAAUUCAUGGUCUGAAAUUAGCCCAUUACUUGAAUCUGUUCCUCUUUGUUGCCUAUUUCUAUCGCAUUAUCUGCUGGCUUUCUUUUCCUGUUCAUUGCAAUUCUCUGGGUCUGAGAAAUGGACAAAAAAAGAAUGGAUGAAAAGGAAACCAUCGGUAUUUAUAGAACCCUGAAAUCAUAUUGUUUCAGAAUCCCACAUCUUACUAUUGAAAUCGGACUGACAGAAGCCUAUGACUUUAAUUUCUUCUUAAGCAUAAUUACUGCUAAAGAAACAAUGAUAUGCAGAAAGAUAUAAUAUAUGACCCAACGAAAAAUGAGAAUUUCAGUGUAUCAAAUGAUAAAAACGAAGAACUAAAUUACAAUUGCGAAGAUAGAUACAGAGACAAAGUUUAACAUCAUAAAACAGCGAAAGAGGACUUGGAAGUGAGUGAGAGAAUUACCUGCAGCACUGUAGCCCUACUUCAAUUUUCAGAGUGACGGGACGGACGCACGGGGGGACAAAUGGGGUCAGACGACCUUAUGGCAGCCGGGAAAAGUAGUGGUGAAGCUCCGGUGCGACCCUAUGGCGCGCUGGGUCGCACACCAAGUGCUCGACGAAAUGCCCAGCAGAGGAGGAAGAAGCCUGCGCGCAGCGCCUGCCUUGCUCAGCGCGCGCGCGAGCUAUAAUUAUUUUUUAAACCACCUGGCCAAAACGACGCCGUUAAUAUUUUGUUUUAAAACCUGGCUUCAAAACGAAGCCAGGCUUUAAAAAAAUGAAUCGCCAACCAACAGCAGAUUUUCUUCCCCUCCCGAUUCCAGCAGCCCUUCAUUGCCAAAAGAUCCAAUUUUUUUUCAAAAUUCCAUCUCCUCUCAAAACACUAACUACUCCCCAACCUCCACCACACCACCACCAACCAAUACAAGCCGCCACCGUCGCCGACGACCUCUUGCCGCCUCUGCCAUCGCUUCUCAUAAAGUCAAGUCAGUGAUAGUUUUACAUAUAUUAUUUUCGGCUUUGGAUAAUUUUAAUGAAAUUGAUAUAUAUUUCAUGAAUUAUAAUUUAUUGGUAUGGUGAAAUUGAUUGAUUUUCUUUAUGAAUUAGAAUUUUUUGAUAUUGAAUUAUUUUGUUAUUUGGAUAAUUGUAUUAGAGUUUAUAUUGAUUAAUAUUAUUAUUUGGAUUAGAUUAGAGUAGUCUUUAUAAUUGAUUGAUUGAAUUAAUUUAUGUGUAGAAAAAAUUUAUUAUGGAACGAUACUUUAAAAGAAAAGUGUCUACGAAUGGUGAGUCUAAUUCGGGUAGUUCAAAUGCAAGAGCAAGACCUAUUGAAUUAGAUGAAAUAUUGGCUAAUCUUCAGGCAGACCCUGGACUAAGAACUCAAAUGAUGGAUUAUAGUCCUAAUUAUCGAGAUGAGAUCCGAAGAGCAUAUCUUCAAAAAGGACCUUUUCAACCUAAAGGUCAUAGAUUCCCACAAACUAAUCAGUUAGGAAUUAAUAGACGGUUCAUUGCCCAAUGGUUUGAUGCGUUUGAUUGGUUGGAGUAUAGUAUAGUUAAAGAUGCUGCAUUUUGCCUCCAUUGCUAUCUCUUUAAAACUAAUUUUGAUCAAGUGGGUGGUGACACCUUCACUGGGUAGGCUUCAAUAAUUGGAAGAAGGGGAGAGAAAGGUUUAACAUUCAUGUUGGACCGGUUGGUAGUGUUCACAACUAAGCUAAAGAAGCUACUUACAAUUGAUGAAUAAAAAAGCACACAUUGAAAGAUUUUUCAAAUAGAGCUUUAUUAAUGUUUGAAGAUCAACUUGGGGUUUAUGUUCAUCAUAUGCAUUCGAGUAGUAAUUUUUCUGAAUUACAAGGGAUUAACAUGCUUGCGGAAAAAAUGGUGAAAAAAUGUGUAUUUGCUUAUUACAUUGACUUUGGUUUUACCAGUUGCAACUGCUUCAGUAGAGAGGUCAUUUUCCGCCAUGAAUAUUAUCAAAAAUUCACUUUGCAACAGAGUGGGAGAUCAAUAGUUGAAUGAUAGCUUGGUUGUUUACAAUGAGAGAGAUGUUUUUGUUUGUAUUGAUAACGAAGCUAUAAUGCAACGUUUUCAAAAUAUGAAAACUCGUCGUGGACAAUUGUAGCUUGUAUUUGCCAUGAAUUAUGAAUGGAAGUACUUUUUUUUUCUUAAAAAAAAAUUUCGACACUUUUACACUAAGACCCAAUGAGUUCAUAAUCCUGCAUUCGCCACUGCGGAGUGAGAGAGAGAAACCUAACGCCUAAUUUAAAAUUUGAGGUUUGUGUUGGGCGGGAAAAGGAAAGAAGACGGUGACCUUUUCUUUUAGCCCAAUGGACUUGCAAUUUGAGCCUAAUAAUAAGUCCAAGCGAUAUCUUUACCAAUUGCAGUUUUAAAAGUUUGGGUUAAUUACUCAAAUGGUCCUCAAAUUUGCACCCGAUUUACAUUUUGGUUCCCAAAUUAAUUAUUCAUUCAAAUGGUCCAUCAACUCUAUAUUAUUCGGUCCAUUGGUCCCACGGUCUAAUUUUCUAUUAGAUUUAACCAAACUUUAGAGUAAAUAUGACUUUUCAUAAUUAACAAAUAAAAAUAAGGUUAAAAUAAGCACAAAAUUUGAAAAUUUUGAAGAAAAAGAGAAAAAAAAUCAUGAGACCCAAACCCACUCCCCCAUUCCUCCACAGACCUUUCCCCCUUCUGUUUUUCCCCUCUGAUCUCUGCUUCUACCUCUCUCUCUCUUUCUCCAAAUUCAAAAACCAAGAAAUUGGAAAAAAAACAAAAAAUUAAUUCAAACAUUGUUUGCAUAUGUAGGUUGGUUGCAAUGAUGAGUUUUGGGUUUGUGGGUGAAAAACAGAAUAGGGGAAGAGGGGGGAGGGGUUUGUGGGGUGGGGAUUCUGUUGUGGUAAAAUUUGGGAGGCUGGUUGGGUGUGGCUGUAUUUUUUAGUAUCUUGAGAAUAUUUUUUGGUGGAUGAGGGGUGGUUGCUGGGUAGGGAGGAGAGUGGUGGGUGGUUGUCUCUUAACAACGAAGUGAAAUUUUUUUGGGGGGGGAGGGGGAAGGGGGAGAAGGUCUGGGUGGUUAGGGUUCUAGUUUCUUAGCCCAGCACAAAUAAUUGAUCGCAAAAGGAGCCCAAUUGGGAUAUAAGAUAAUUCGUAGGACACACUUGUGCGAGCCAUGGGCCACACGUCACGCCAAGCAAAUGUGCACGCCAGACACGCAAAAGGGCCAAAACGCACCAGCUCUAUAAAUUCAUGCUUACUAAUCUAUCCAAAGCUACUUGACUAGAUCAUAGCUUAUUGCGUCACAAUAAAACUCAAGCACAAGCAUGCUAAAUAAACACGCAAUGCCAUGUAAAGGACCGCUAUUCUAAUACCAAGUUGUGCUACAGUAGGCCCAAUCAGCGUAAUUACCCGAGGCUUCCUGAGAAGGUUUUGGUAUGGAUGGAAACAAGCACUCACAGUGCCCAUUGAGGGUUCAAGGAAUGAAAGUUUUAGGCCACUUGGGAGCACUAAAACUCAAGCCCAUUCCUCGGGCCCAAACACAUGGGUUAGCACGAGAGAAAGAAAAAAAAAAGUGAUCCAAUGCCCUAGGAGAACAUCUAAUAGUCUGCUGCAACACUUAGACAAACCCACAUCAAUUAAAAUGCCCAAAAUAAAACAAAAGGACUACUUCCAGUAGCUUGAUGAAAACCCACAGGACGCUAGAAAUAGAGUACCAAUAACCCAAUACUGUAAACAAAGCCCAACCCAGUGCCUUGUAAAAAUCUAGCAUCGCAUUCCACCCUUGUCAAAGCUCCAUAACAGUCAACGAGAACGCAUUGUAGGAACCAAAGAAAAUCCAUAUGUGUAGAAGGAGUACCCAUUGGACAAAAGACUCUAUCCAUUCUCUUUUCCUAUGUGAGCUCUAAUUUGAAAAUCAAGGAAGAAAGCAGGUGGCGCCUCACCCCCAUAGGGGAGGUCCAGCCACACAAAAAACCUUGGUACCCCAAAGAGCCUAUGACCCAUGCGCUCUAGUUAAAGAAAUUUCACCAAAAAGGAGUGAGUGGAAAGAAGUAGGCUUGGGCACGGAUCGGUUCGGAACGGUAGAAGGCUCUUCCGUUAACCAAACUAAAAAUUUCGGUAGACCAUUUUCUCUUUCAUUAACCAAAUCAAAGGCUUCUGUAGACUUCGGAUCGAUUAACCUAAUAUUCGGUUCGGAUUGGUUCGGUACACCGGUAGUACCGUAAUAAAAACAUACUAAUAAAAAUGCAAUUUAUAAUACUUUCACAUAACAUAAGUUCUUGAACAAAUACACCAAAUUAUCCUUGUAAAAUAUAAAAAUCCAAUUGUCUAAUUCAUCCAAGUAUGAAAUCAAAUAACUUAGUCACUAUAUCAUUCAAUAUAUACUUAAGAUGUACUAGGAGCCACUUGUGUUUAUUGUUUGAAUAUUUGAGUGUUGUUUUUACUGAAUUCUCUACAUUUAUGUAAGUGAUUUUGACAUUUGUUCCUCGCUGGAUUCUUUAGUUUUUCAUGCUGAAUUCAACCAUAUAAAAAACAUAAAAUUUGGAUCAAUGGUUGGAAAGUUACAAGUAAAAAACGGGACAAAGGUCGAAAUUGGAAAACAUCGGAAAUUCAUAAUUUCACCCUCACAGAUCUCAAUGCAGCUAUCCAUGCUAUGGGAGAACCCCAGAGGGAGAUGAUGGACACCAUCAAAGAAUUGAAAAGUUAUGUCUCUAAGCCGAGCGACGAAAAUGACAGACACCCACAAAAGGUGUCCGCUGCUGUUGGCUGAACAAAAAGGACCAUAUUUUGUUACCUUGGAGGAUGUUGUCGCCAUGCCGGAAAAGGAGCUUAGCGGAAGCCAAGAAGAUUGGAAGUACAUUCCUCAGCCACCAUAUCUAUCGAGCUUACUUCAGUAGCCAUAUCCUCAAGGUUACGAGGCACUAAGUUUUGUUCUCUUCGAUGGAAGGAAGGGAAGCCCAAAAGAGCAUGUCAACAGUCUCAUUGAUGCUUUGGGACCUCAUGCUGGUGAUUAUAAUCUCCAACUCCGAGAGUUUUCAAAAAGCCUUACCGAUCGGGCUUAUACGUGGUACACAACAUUGGCACCAAGCUCUGUUCGCUCUUGGGAGAAUUUCGCAAGCAGGUUCUGUAAGAAAUACUUUCAGUAUGAGGAAAGAGUAACUAUCACUCAACUCAACAACACUCGCCAAAAACAUGGGGAAGAUCCCUUGGACUUUGUACGCAGGUUCCAGGACUUGGCCCUGGAUUACUAUGAAGAAAAGGAUGAGGAGGCACUUGUCGAGAUCUGCAUCAGCAACAUCGUGGCAGAUUAUAGAGUUUAUUUGGAGAAUAUUGGUAUCAGUUAAUUUCAAGAGGAGUGAGAAGAAGGAAGCGCAGCAAACGCUAGCUAUAGAUGACAAGCCAUCCAGUGACUACAACUCACGCAAACGGAAGGAUAGGGAGACAUAUCCGCCAUUACAUGCAAAAAUGAAGAAUUCCACGCCAUCCUCGAUACGAUGAUUGCUGAUGAUGCAAUCAAGCCUUUCAGACCCUACAAAGUUCCCACUAGAGAAGAGAAGAAUGAUCCUAGGUAUUGUCGUUAUCACCAAUUCGUGGGGCAUCCGACCACUGCUUGCCAAACUCUAAGAAGGAUCUUACAUGCUAAAAUACAUGAAGGAGUUCUUGAGCUUCCCUCUAGGAAGCAAACCAUUGAUGAGGACCCCUUGCCAAAAUGAAGAGGGAAGGAGACAGCCGCUGUUAUCACAUGCUCCGACAAUGAUGAAUUGUGUCACCCAUGGAAGAACGACCCAAAGCCACCAAAAUCUAUUUGGGAACCUUGCGGAAACAUGGAGAAGGCCUACUGGUGUAAAUACUCAAAACCUUCAAGCUACAACACGCCAUGGCCACUCGUUGAUGGAUAAGCUGGUUGUGCAGACAAUGAAGUGUUCAUGUUGGACAUGCCGGAAGAGCGAUGCUUGGAAGCUUCGUUUGGGCAGUAGGAAACAACUGUUGUAAUGUUCCACACUUUUACAAAAGCAGAAAAAACGGUAAUGGAGCGUUACCUAGGUUUGAAGCAAGGGUCCACAGCUUCACAAGUCCUCCAAAGAAACCCAAAGUUCAAGACCAACUUGGCUUUAGACCACAAGCAAGGGAAGCCGCUGCUGUAGCUUUCAUGAACGUUUCGGCAAAAUCUAACCCCUAUUGCUUCACUACUCAACCACAAAGGUCAUUCUUAGAAAAAGACAAUGCUAUUGUUUUCACAGACGAAGACAUGGAGGUCCCGUAUUCGGAUCACAGGAGGCCACUCUAUUUAGAGGGACAAAUCAAUGAUGUGUUUAUAAGGAGAGCUUUGGUGGAUAUGGGCUCUUCUGUCAAUAUUUUGCCUCUAUAUUGACUUACAGCAGCCGGUAUUCCAUUAUCCAAGAUUGUGCAAUCCCAAACAAGCAUCAGUGGUUUCGGGAAUAAGAGUGAGGUUACAAUCGGUCACAUGCAAGUAAACUUGAAAGUGGGGCCAAUCCGGUCUCUUACCAAGUUCUAUGUAGUAGACGUGGAUGUGGCUUACCACGCUUUACUCGGAAGGUCAUGGCUCAACAAGCACAAACUUGUGGUAUCUACUUACCAUCACUGCGUGAAGGGAAGGAUUGGACUGAGGCCACUUCGCAUACCAAGAAAUCAAACACCGUUCAACAAAAACGAAGCUCACUACUCCGAGGCGGAAUUCUACACCGAAUGCACGGGUACUAGAGGCAACCCAUCCAAAGAUUUUAGGACCUACCUACCUUCAUAAACUGAAAUCCGUGAUCUGAGCAAUGAGGAACUUAUAACCAUUGUGGAUCGAGAAAAAAUAGGCACUCGGAGGUCAACAACCAUGCUUACGAUCAACCUCAAUGAUUGAAAGUAAUGCUGCCGGAUGGACGUACGGUGUACUGCUUAUGACAGGUUUGGGGGCAAGACCGUGUUCUAUGAGAAAGCCACAAGUAUGGUGAAGAAGUGAUGCAAACGGAUAGCCAUAAAAGUCCCAAGGAUAAAACACCUAUGCCUUGCGCUUUCCAAGAGCCUAUGAUGGCACCCAAGCAUAUGCAAGAUGGCUCAACGGCAUGUGCGAAGCAGCUGGAAACAAUCAAUUUGAGUGAUGACCCCUCUGUCUAAAGGCCCAUCUCCAUCAGCAUUCACUUGACAAGCGAAGAGAAAGAAGCUUUGGUAUCUCUGUUAAAGGAAUUUCGAGAUGUGUUCGCUUGGAGCUACGAAGAAAUGCCCGGCCUAAAUCAAAACUUAGUAAGUCACACUUUGAAUAUCGAGCUUGGCACAAAACCUGUUGUGCAGCCAAGAAGGAAUUUUCAUUCUAAAAUCAAAAACCAAAUCAAAGUAGAAUUUGAGAAGCUAUUAGCUGUUGGGUUCAUCAAACCAAUCAAGCACCCAACAUGGCUAGCAAAUAUUGUUCCCGUGAAGAAGAAGACUGGGGUGAUUAGAUGUGCACGGACUAUCGAGAUCUCAACCGAGCUUGCCCGAAAGAUGAAUUCCCACUGCCCAAUAUGGAUAUCUUGAUUGAUUCGACCUCGGGGCAAGGCUUGCUGUCAUUCAUGGACGGAUUUAGUGGCUAUAACCAAAUAAAGAUGUCACCAAAGGAUGCCGAGAAGACAGCCUUUCGAACACCAUACAAGAAUUUCUAUUACACAGUCAUGCCAUUCGGUCUCAAGAAUGCCGGUGCUACUUACCAAAGGGCCAUGACAACAGUAUUCCAUGAUAUGACGGGAAAAGAGGUGGAAGACUAUGUGGACGACCUUGUGGUGAAGUCAAAAAACAGAGGAAGCCAUCAGGAGGUUCUAAGGAAUGUGCUGGAAAGGUAUCGGUUGUAUGGGUUGAAGAUGAACCCAAAGAAGUGUGCAUUCGGAGUCUCAUCCGGCAAGUUUCUAUGGUUUCAAGUGCAUCAACGAGGUAUAGAUGUGGACCCUGAGAAAACUAAGGCCAUAAACUCUCUUGCACUACUUAGGAACCCAAAGGAAUUGAAGAGUUUCAUGGGAAGACUGUCAUACAUUCAACGUUUUAUCCCAAGCCUCGCUGCCAUGAUGAGCGUCUUCACUCCUUUACUCAAGAAGGGAAAACCAUAUGUAUGGAGCAAGGAAUGCCAAGAAGCUUACCAGCAAGUGCAACAAUUGAUCGCCAAGCUGCCCACAAUGAACGCACCCAUCCGGGGACUUCCACUUAAGCUUUAUUUGGCUGCAACGAAUGCUGCAGUUGGGGCUUUGCUUGCCCAAGACAGUCAUGAUGGGGAGGAGAGCCCCAAUUUUGGAACAUCACGUACUUUCUUUAGUGUAUUCAUACAGAGGUGCACUACUACAAAAAGUGAAAAAGACGACCAGAAAACAACGACGGUCUAAGUGAAAACCGUCGUGGUUUAUAAAAAGACGACGGUUCUAAAAACACCGUCGUGUAAUACAACCUUAGACAACUAAAAAAUGGAGUUUCAAAUGGCUGUUCAAAAACAACGACGUACAUAAUUAAACAACCGACGUCUAUUUGAAACAGAUUUCCUCAGUGUAAAAUCAAUGCCAACAAAGAACGGCAGAAGUUAUGAAUCGACCGACGUAGAAAGUAAAGACGACGAUUUCAAUAAAAACUGCCGUUUUUACUCAUAAAAUAACACGACGAGGUUUUCGUAUAAGACGCCGUAUAAUUACAAACAAAUCCACGGCUUUAAAAUACAAAAUAUCGCCGUAUUAAAUUAAUUUACAACGACGGAAAAUAUAAAUAUAUCGACGUCAUUCUCGUAUAGUUCUACUACGUUAUCUUUAAAUCGUACAAUAAAAUUUAUCGUCGUAUUUAUUCAUUUUAUACGUCGUACCUUUAAUUUUAACGGUCGUCUUAAUAAGAAUUUUUGUUAACAAUUUUUUUCUUUGAUUUUCUUAUCCUACGUCGGUAGAUCUACUUAAUGACAAGAAUUGAAAUAACCACGACGGUUUAUAUAGAACACCGCCGACAUAAUCAGUUUUGUCUGAGAUCCCAAGGGUUACGAAAUCUUACCAGAUGGAACUCUGUUCCACAUCAUAAUCUUAACAGAUGACACAGAUUUGCAAAUAUUGCGUCGUGUUAGUUUACAAAUUCUAGAACAUUAAUUUCCCUCAUUUUAAAUUUCCUCGGGAAAGAAAAAUCUAUUUAUCACGCUUUGGAAUUGAAAACUAAAACUGAAAGAAUACGGGAAAAAAAACUCCAUUUAUAAUUUAAAAUUAAAAUCCACGUCGGUUGUAGUACACUUAACGACGUUUAACAAAAUAAUCUACGUCGGUAAUUAUAAAUCUACCGCCAUCGUAACUUAAUAUAGACGACGAGAAAAGACGACGGUAGAACAGAAAACCGCCGUUGUUUCAGUUUCUUUAACAUAUCUUUCUGCAGGACUUGUGUAGUUCAAAGCAUUGACAAUGUCUUCAUCAUAUCUCCCAGAAACUACUGAUUCAAUUGCUCAUGCUUUAGAGGCCAUCUGAAGCCAUUUCUAUUCUUUAUCGCAUUCUUGAAACCCAUCUUCUUCUUCUGAAGCUCUACGGAUAAAGGAAGAGGCUAUCACAAUAAAUCCGACGGAUCUUCUUAGGCAAGAAAAUCAAGCAGAGGAUCAGGCACAUCUGAUCUUCAGAUUUCCCUGAGAAGCGAACUUUCCUUCGACAGCGAGUGGAGGCCAGGCUUGCAUCUCUUUUGAUGGAAAGCAAGGAGUAUUCAGAAGCACUAAGUGUCCUAUCAGGCUUGAUCAAGGAAGUGAGAAGGCUAGUUGACAAGCUUCUUCUUGUGGACAUAUAUUUGAUUUCUCUUUGAGAAAACAUCCAAAUUAUUAUCUUUGAGACAUGAGAGACUGAGAGAGGAAGAACUUGGAACCUUAAAUGUAAACCGAAAAUGAAUGAAAGCGACAAAUUUAUAGAAUAAAUUUUUAAAACCAACGGCGGUCCUUACAAACAAACCGCCGUUUAAAUUGUAAAAUCAACGUCGGUAUGAUCGACGUAUAUUACAGAAAUCCACGUCGGUAAAUUAAUAAAAACGACGUGUUAAAUAAUAUACCAUGACGCGAGUUAUUACUUAUGUACUUUAAUUUUUGAGUUUACUACGACGGUACCUACAAACUACUGUCGUAUUUAUUUACCACGUCCGAAGUUAAAUGUACCGUCGUAUUUUGUAAUUUAUACGUCGUAGUUAUAUGUAACCGCCAUAUUAUUUUUUUGAAAUGGUUUUAUAUGUAAGCAACUUUUCGUCUACUUGACUUACACAUUUGUUGUUUUUAUAUUCUUAUUUUAUUUAAAUCUGUCAUCCAAAAAAGAAACUUUACAUAUUGCAGAAUAUUAAUUUCCUUCGUUUUAAAUUUCCUCCGGAAAAAAAACUCUAUUUAUAACGCACUGUAAUUGAAAAAUAAACUGAAAGGUCACGGGAAAAAAAAUUCUAUUCAUAAUUUAAAAAUUAAAAUCCACGUCGGUUAUAUUAAACCUAACGACGUUAAAUGAAAUGAUUCCACGUCGAAUGAAAAAUAUUGCGUCGUUUUAGUUAAAAACGACGUAGUUAAAUGUAACCGCCGUAUUAUUUUUUUGAAAUGGUUUUAUAUGUAAGCAACUUUUCGACUUACACAUGCACUGUUUCCAAACCCGAUUAAAAAUUUCAAUCUCCCAGAGAAACCUUUUAGUCUUUUUUCCUUGUCAGAGCAUUGUCAGAGUUUCUCAUCGUCUUCCUCUCGUCUUCUUCGUCGUCUCUGAACUUAAACAUCGAUCAUCUUCCUCUUGCUUUCAUUGCACGCAAAAGGUAAGCUUUCAUUUUCACUAUUUUGGUUACUGUUUUGCAUGCUCAUACGUUUUUUGUUUGAAAAAUCUUUUUACCUUUUUUCUGGCCAAAAUCAUUUUACUUCUUUCCAAGUUUGAUAAAAUAUACAGACAAAGAGAGAAAGUUUCCAACUUUGAAGACAACUACAUCAACUAAAUAAGACGACGGUAGACCACGACGGUUCGUCAGUUGUUCUAGCGUCGUCUGAAAAUUGACAAAGUUGUUUUUAAAAUAAUAGUCUUUUUUUAUAUGCUUGUUUAAUUGCAGGUUUGAUUUCGCUGAACAAUGGUUUUUGUUUUUCCCUUAUUUGAUAAAAUAUAAAGAAAAAGAAACUAGGGUUGGUAUCUAAUAUAGACGAUAAAAUAUAAAUAAUAGUUUACCACGACGGUGUAUUACUAUUGACGUCGUGUGAACAUAUAUACCACGACGUUAUAUAAAUAAUGGUUUUAAACAUUUAUUACGUCUGAGAUUAUUUCAUUGCGUCGUCUAAAAUCAUAUCAUACGUCGUAUUUUGUUAAUACCGUCGUUUGUGUUCUUAAUGUUUUCCUGAAAUAUUUUCACUUGCAGUUUUGUCUGUUAAAAUGGUUUCUCAACAACAAACUAAGGAUUCUGGCUCCAAGAAGCUUGGAAUGGUAGCUCCUCAAGAUAAGUCUUCGAAGGAGAUGAAGUCUUCGAAGAAGAUGAAGUUUGCUUCAUCAUCUGCUGAGACAGAACAAACCAGCCAGACAACAAUCUCAGAUGAUUCAAAGACUGGUCGAGGUAUGAGCACAAUGCCUCGUGUUGUGAAGAGAAAGCUUCAGAAACUGAGGCCAAUUGUUGAGUACAAUAAAAGGGGGAAAGGUGUUGGCCAAGCACAUAUUGAGAUGCAGUCGUAUAUUGGUGUGUUGGCACGCUCCAGGAUCCCACUUGUGGACAAGAAAUGGUCCCAAAUCCCCAAGGAUAUAAAGGAGCAGAUUUGGGAAGCAGUUGACAUGGCUUUUGUCGUAGGCCAAGGGGGCAAGACCUCUGUUUUAGCUUCUGCUUCCAAGAAAUGGAAGGAUUUCAAGUCUACACUAACGAGGCAUUAUAUCCUUCCAUACACCAAUGACAGGGAGAAAUUAAGCCAACCCCCUGAAACAUAUAAAUUCAUAGAGAAAGCACAAUGGGAUGCCUUUGUAGCUUCAAGGCUAUCCAAAGAUUUUGAGUCUGUGCAUUCUCAACAUGCACAGAUUAGGGAGAAACUCGAGUACAAUCAUCGAUUGUCUCGAAAAGGAUAUGCUGGAUUGGAGGAUCAAUUGGAGGAAACCAUGCCUGGGGUAGAAAUUGAUCGAUCUACCUUAUGGAAGAGAGCUAGACAGGACAAACAUGGUAACAUCCCUGAUCCAAAGGUGGCAGAGAAAGCAAAAUUAAUUGUAAGCCUACUAUCACUCUGUUUUAAAUUUUUAUUAAACUGUGAAUUAUUCUUAUUACGUCGUAUGUUAUAUUUUUCGUCGUGUGAAUGAUAUUACCACGUCGAAAAGUUUUUAAAAACGUCGUUAAAGGUCUAAAUAGGAAUCACUACUAUGUUUUCUGUAAUUACAGCAUAAGACGUCGGUGGUUCAUUUUCGCGUCGUGUGAAUGAUAUUACCACGUCGAAAAUUUUUUAAAAACGUCGUUAACGGUCUAAAUAGGAAUCACUACUCUGUUAUCUUUAAUUAUAGCAUAAGACGUCGGUUGUUUAUUCAUUUCGUCGUUUUAAAUAAAUAACCACGUCGGUAUAACUACCGUCGUGAUAAGUUAUAAUAACGUCGGUUUAUACGUUAUUGCGUCGUGUGAAAUUAUAUAAUACGUCGUUUGUACAUAAAUAACCGUCGUGUGUUUUUUUGUUUAUCUUUUUUUAGGAUGAAUUGCAGAAACAAGUCUCGGAAGGCAAAGUCAGAGUAGAUGGCAGCAAUGAUGUGCUGACCAUGGCUUUGGGCCCCGAGCAUCCAGGCAGACUGAGGGGAGUUGGUGCUGGUGUUUCCCCAAGGCAAUAUUUCAAUUUGCCCAAACCACAGAGGGUGAGCUUUGACGACCGUUUGAAGGACAGUUUAAGAGUUCUCCUUCAAGAAGAGACUAAAAAGAUGGAGGCUAAGGCAAGGGAAGAGGCCUUAAGGAUGGAGGCUAGGACAAAACAAUUGGUAGAGGCUGAGAGGGAGCAUUUCCUGAGUCAGCUUUCCCAAUUAAUUCCCAAUUUUGAUCCAAGCAUGCUUAAACCAAGAAUUAGCCAAAGCCCCAAAAAUCCAAUGUCUGACAAAGCUAGCUGCUCUGGAGGUGAUGUGAGAUCCCUACAUUUGGAGGAUGAUACUGCCAAAAUGGGGAAACAUCAGCCAGAUGAAGAGAAGGAAGAAGAAAAAAGAGAUGAAGAGAAGGAAGAAGAAAAGGAGAAAGAAGAUGAAGAAAAGCAUGACGACAAGGUAUGUUCACAUAACUUUGCCUUUUUUAUUUGUUUUUCAAAAUUUCAGACGUCGAUAUUUUUAUUUAAUCCGUCGUUUGUUUAAAACUUAGACGGCGGAAUUUUUUUAAGACGUAAUAAAAUAUUUAAACGACGGUUUUUGCACCGUCGUUUAAAUGGUUUCAAACGACGCUUUAUUCAUAAAACCGUCGUCUUUAUUGAAUUACCACGACAGUUUUUUCACCGUCGUUUAAAUACUUUUAAGACGACGUUUUAUUACUUAAACCGUCGUCUUUAUUGAAUUACCACGUCAUUUUUUUUAUUUCUUUAAACAGGUUAUUGAAGUUGGUGCUUAUUCAAAUAUGGAGGCGCCAUCUUCUUUAAAAACCCUUUGUCGUUUUGUGGAAACGACACUCCUGCCUGAGGAUAAGACACUCCAAUUUACAAUUGAUAAGGAGGUGUUUGGUGGUGAGCGCGAUACCUUCCUCCUGCCUGAAGAUAUUACACAAUUUGCAGGCAUGGAAGAAAUUGGAGCUACUGUAUUGGCUGUAUAUAUGAGGUUUGUACUUCUAAAAUAAUACCUCGUUGGUUUAUAUAUUGCGUCGUCUUAACUAACUAACCACGUCGUCUUAACUAACUACCGUCGUGAUAAAUAUAUUAUAACGUCCUCAUCUAUUUCAGUACGUCGUGUGAAAUAUUAUAAUACGUCGUUUUUUUAUACAUAACCGUCGUGUUUUGUGUGCUGACUUGUUUAUAUUAUUUUAUUUGUUUAGGUACUUACACGAUGUUUUGAAAAAAGCCAAUAUGUGCAGUAUGGUUGGCUUUAUCGACCCUGCUACAGUUAGUGCCAACUCUGGCACAAUAACUGAAAGAUCACGACUCGUAGCAGCUCGACUUCAGAAGACAGACGGUGAACAGAUUUUCAUGAUGCCUUACAAUCCAGGGUUAGUCUCCUUAGGAUUUUGUUUUUAUGAUUUUCAAUAAAUGACAGCUUAUAAACUAACCACGUCGGUGUUUUAUUUUAUUUAGUCGUUUGAAACUACUAACCACGUCGGUAUUUAUUUNNNNNNNNNNNNNNNNNNNNNNNNNNNNNNNNNNNNNNNNNNNNNNNNNNNNNNNNNNNNNNNNNNNNNNNNNNNNNNNNNNNNNNNNNNNNNNNNNNNNNNNNNNNNNNNNNNNNNNNNNNNNNNNNNNNNNNNNNNNNNNNNNNNNNNNNNNNNNNNNNNNNNNNNNNNNNNNNNNNNNNNNNNNNNNNNNNNNNNNNNNNNNNNNNNNNNNNNNNNNNNNNNNNNNNNNNNNNNNNNNNNNNNNNNNNNNNNNNNNNNNNNNNNNNNNNNNNAAAAAAACAAACAUACAAAUUGCCUAACCGACGUGUAAUACUUUUCCAACGACCUAAUAAAGUCAAUAACCGUCGUAUUUUGUUGUUGCGUGUUUUAAACAAAUACGACGUAAAAAAAAUAGUUAGACGACGUUCUUUGAACAAUUGAGUCGUUAAUGGUUUACAAUAUCUUCAAUUUCUUAAGGGUUCAGGGUAUAAUCGACGACGUUUAUGUAACGACUGCGGUUAAGUCGUAAAAUAUAUAUUUUACGUCGUAUAGUUAAAUAGCCGCCAUGGUUUCUCAUUUUAACGACGUCAUUUUAACGACUUAGUAGUCUAUUACAAUUUACAACGUCUACAAUUUAUUUAACACCGACGUGGUUUGUUGUAUGGUAAGAAUAUUUUAUUAUUUUUAUAUCAAAAUAUUCAAAAUAAAUAUAAAAUAAAUCAGAAAAUUGAAAAGUCAACUCCUAUGAAGUCAUUGAUAUAUUUUCUUCCACAUAAACCUUGAAAAAAUUCAUUUUGAAUAACAAAAAUUUAAAAUGACCAUCCAAAACAAAAUUGUUUUGAUGAGUCAUAAAAUCACUUCUAGUUUUAUGGUUUAGGGUUUAGAGUCUAGGGUUUAGAGAUUAGGGUUGUUAUUUAUUGGGGUUUAUUUUUAAAGUAUAAUUUUUGGGUAGUCUAUGUUAUAUGUUAGGCUUUAAAACCAUAAAACCUUUUAUAAACUUAAUUUUUUAAAUUGUAUAAUUUAAUUUUAUGGGUUUAGUGUAUUAAUUUUUAACGACGGUGGUUGGGUCGUGGAAUACAUAUUUUACGUCGUACAGUAAAACAUACGACAUGGUUUACGCUUUAAACGACGUCAUUUUAAUAUGUAAGUCGGUUUAUAUAAUUUACAACGUUUUUAAUUUCUUAACACCGACGUGGUUUCUCAUUUUAACGACGUCAUUUUAACGACUUAGUAGUCUAUUACAAUUUACAACGUCUACAAUUUAUUUAACACCGACGUGGUUUGUUGUAUGGUAAGAAUAUUUUAUUAUUUUUAUAUCAAAAUAUUCAAAAUAAAUAUAAAAUAAAUCAGAAAAUUGAAAAGUCAACUCCUAUGAAGUCAUUGAUAUAUUUUCUUCCACAUAAACCUUGAAAAAAUUCAUUUUGAAUAACAAAAAUUUAAAAUGACCAUCCAAAACAAAAUUGUUUUGAUGAGUCAUAAAAUCACUUCUAGUUUAAUGGUUUAGGGUUUAGAGUCUAGGGUUUAGAGAUUAGUGUUGUUAUUUAUUGGGGUUUAUUUUUAAAGUAUAAUUUUUGGGUAGUCUAUGUUAUAUGUUAGGCUUUAAAACCAUAAAACCUUUUAUAAACUUAAUUUUUUAAAUUGUAUAAUUUAAUUUUAUGGGUUUAGUGUAUUAAUUUUUAACGACGGUGGUUGGGUCGUGGAAUACAUAUUUUACGUCGUACAGUAAAACAUACGACAUGGUUUACGCUUUAAACGACGUUAUUUUAAUAUGUAAGUCGGUUUAUAUAAUUUACAACGUCUUUAAUUUCUUAACACCGACGUGGUUUUUCAGUCGUCGUUAUAUAAAAAAUUCAAAAUAAAUUUAAAAUUAAUCCGAAAAAUGAACGGCCUUACGUUCUUAAUCCGAAAAAUGAAGUUUCCGUCGUGGAAUAUUAAAUUUACGUCGGUACUUGUAGAACUUUCGCCUUGGUUUUUCUUUCGACGUUUUAUAACGCGCGCGCUCUAAAAAUUUUCGCGCGACCUAAAUUUUUUUAGAUUUGGCUCUUAGUCUUAUACUUUGAUCCCUGAAACCUAAAAUUUCAGAUUUCACGCGACAUAACAUUUCGCUCUCUCACUUCUGCUCUAAUUAAAAGUUGCACUCUCCAGGCUCGUCGAAUCUGUGAGCUCGUCCAACCUGUAAGUACAAACCCUAUCUUCCCCUUGUAAAUUCAUUGAAUGAUAUUAGGUUGUUUUGUUAAAGGGUUUUAGGUAUAUGCUUUGCGAUCUGUUAAUAAUGUGCUUAUAGGUAUGGGUUCAUGGAUUUUCUGUUUAAUGGGUUCAUGACAAGAUCAAAUAAAGGUGUACUUUUGCUGGAAAUCAACACAAAAAGACACAUCACCAACUUCCAAAUGAUUUCCAGCAAAAGGACACCUUUAUUUGAUCUUGUCAUUUUCCGCUCUGGAGAAGGUGCAAAGUGCACCAAUGCUUAUAGGUAUGGGUUCAUGGAUUUUCUGUUUAAUGGGUUCAUGGAUUACAUUAUCUGUUAUGUUGAAUUGGGAAUGGAUUUAAUUUUGUCGUAUCUUUUAAUCACCCUAUGUUAUGUUGAAUUGGGAAUGGAUUUAUUGUUUUCAUGCUUGGUUUCAUGUAUAUGUUGGUUUCUUGCUUGGUUUCAUAUAUAUGUUGUGUUCUUAAUGGGUUUUGUGUUCUUGAAAAUAAACUGAGACACGACGAAUUUUAAGGCGUACGACGACGAUUACACGACGGUGUUUUUAAACUACCGUCAUUGUAUUACUUAUACACGACGGUUUUUUCAUAAACCGUCGUUUGUAUUACGUAUAAUAGACGACGUCUGUUGAAAAUCCGUCGUCUAUAUAUGCCAAAUACGUCUGUUUUUGAUUAAAACCCGUCGUCUCUGUUGUUUAUUACUUGCGAUUAGAUCAUUGUAUAAUCUGCUAUAGUGAUGGUCAUUGCCUGUAUUUUCACUUUAUUAUAGAUAAUAGGUUAUAGUGUCGGAGAUGGAUAAGUCAUGGAUGCACUCGGAUAGAAGAUCGAAGACAUAUGAGUUUGGGGUGGAAGCAUUUUUGAACUUUGCUGUAGAAAAUCUUCUAACUACAACACAUAUCCGUUGUCCAUGUGUUAAAUGUGUUAAUUUGAAGUUGUUUGGGGUUGGAAUUAUAAGGGAUCACUUAUACUUUAAUGGAAUUGACCAAAGCUAUAAGAAUUGGACAUUUCACGGAGAACCUUGGGAAGCAACUACUAAUGCUAGCAGAAAUGUUGAAGAAGAUGAUGGCCAUAGUAGGUACAGUUUUGUGUCUGAAGAAAUUGAUAUGGAUGAUAAUGAUUUUGGUGAUUUUGGUUUGGAUCCGUAUGAGUUUGCCAAUGUGAUUGGGGAUGGAGAUCAACCAGUGUACCCUGGUUGUAGAAAGUACACGAAGUUAUCGGCAUUAGUGAAGUUGUAUAAUUUGAAGGCAAAACAUGGGAUGAGUGAUGUCUGUUUUACAGAAUUAUUGAUACUUCAAGGCGAUUUGCUUCCAGAAGGAAAUACAAUACCAACCUCCAUGUAUGAGGCUAAAAAGACUUUGUGUGCAUUGGGGCUGAGUUAUGAGAAAAUGCACGCAUGCCCCAAUGAUUGCAUCUUGUAUAGGAAGGAGUAUGAGGAUUCAACUAAUUGUCCUACUUGUGGUAUCUCAAGGUGGAAGGAAGGCAAAGAUGCAAUCUUGAAAGAGGGUGUGCCAGCGAAGGUGGUGUGGUAUUUUCCCCCAAUUCCAAGGUUUAAAAGGAUGUUUCAAUCACAUGAGACAGCUAAGAGUUUGACUUGGUGGCAUGUUGCUAGAAAAUCAAUUGACGGUCAGAUGUCUCAUCCGGCGGAUUCCCCGUCUUGGAAACUUCUUGAUGAUAAAUGGCCUGAGUUUGGUAAUGAGCCGAGAAACUUGAGAUUGGCUCUUUCAUCUGAUGGAUUCAAUCCCCACAGUUCUCUAAGUAGCAGAUAUAGUUGUUGGCCGGUUAUCUUAGUUACAUAUAAUCUCCCUCCAUGGCUGUGCAUGAAACGAAAGUUCAUGAUGUUAACCUUAUUGAUUUCCGGUCCUAAACAACCCGGAAAUGAUAUAGACGUCUACUUGGAGCCUUUGAUUGAUGAUUUAAAAUCCUUGUGGGUUGGGAUUAGAGGAGUGUAUGAUGCACAUAAUGGAGAAUACUUUACACUCAGAGCUGCAUUAAUGUGGACAAUUAAUGAUUUCCCCGCCUAUGGAAACUUAUCUGGUUGUGUUGUUAAAGGAUAUAAAGCUUGUCCAAUAUGCGGCGAUGAUACACCUAGUCACAGGUUGAAAAAUGGCCACAAAAUUUGUUACAUUGGGCAUAGAAAAUGGUUACCAAUCAAUCAUCCAUAUAGGAGGCAACGUGCAGCUUUUAAUGGGAAACCUGAAUAUGGCAUACCUCCAGAGCCAUUAACCGGAGAAGAAGUGCUGCAUAUGGUUGAAAAUGGUGACAGAGUUUGUUGGAAGAAGAAAUCAAUAUUCUUUGAUCUCGAGUAUUGGAAAUACCUUCCUGUGAGGCAUGCCCUAGAUGUUAUGCACAUUGAGAAGAAUGUUUGCGAUAGUAUCAUUGGUACAUUGCUGGAGAUCCCUGGAAAAAAUAAAGAUGGGAUUGCUGCUCGAUUAGAUUUAUUGAACAUGGGGGUCAAAACUGAUUUGCAACCCGAGUAUGGAGAAAGACGUACUCGUUUGCCUCCUGGGCCUUGGAAUUUGUCAAGAGCAGAGAAGAGAGAGGUUUGCAAUUCUUUCUAUGGUAUGAAGGUCCCUGAAGGUUAUUCUUCAAAUAUUAAAAAUCUUGUAUCUGUACAAGAUUCAAGACUUCUUGGCCUUAAAUCACAUGAUUGUCAUACCUUAAUGCAACAAUUGCUCCCUGUGGCAAUUCGUUCUGUUUUGGAGAAGCCUGCAAGGUAUGCAAUAACUCGUUUGUGCUUCUUCUUCAAUGCUAUAUGUGCAAAGACUGUUGAUGUUUCCAAGCUAGAUAAGUUGGAAGAAGAUGUAGUAGUUACUCUGUGUUUGCUUGAGAAGUACUUUCCCCCUUCAUUCUUUGAUAUCAUGGUUCAUCUAGUAGUACAUCUUGUCAGAGAAGUUCGUCUAUGUGGGCCAGUAUAUUUUAGGUGGAUGUAUCCGUUUGAAAGAUAUAUGAAAGUGCUGAAGGGGUAUGUUCAGAAUCGUACUCGUCCCGAAGGUUGCAUUGCUGAGCGGUAUAUAGCUGAAGAAGCGGUAGAGUUUUGUACUCAGCAUUUAUCUGAUGUUAGUACAGUUGGAGUGCCUUCAAGCCAAAAGAUGGGAGUUUCAAAGCCAUUAUCAGGUUGCACAGUGAGCGUAGUUGAUCAGGACCUGUUGAAUCAAGCACAUCUAUAUGUCUUGGAGAAUACGGAGGAAGUCCUACCUUAUAUCGAGUACGUAUGAGUUUUAUUCUUUAAGUUUCCAUUUAAAAUUAUUUCUUAUGUUUAUCUUAUAUAUUUGGGACCGUAAUGCUUGAAUUUUUCGUGUCAUGUAGGCAACAUAUGAUCCACAUCAAGACUGCUUAUCCAAAAUUUAGAAAGAGAACAAAGUGGCUGCAGGAUAAGCACAAUAGCACUUUCAUUCAAUGGCUACGCUUCAAGGUAUAUGUUGUUGAAUAACGUAUUUCUCUUUUAAUUUUCUUCUUAUUUAUAUGUUAGGAUGAAUUAAGAUAUGAUUAAUUUGCAGGUUCAAAGUGAAGUUGAGGAAGACAAUCAUGGCGUAUCAGAAAAUUUAAGGUGGCUAGCAGCUGGUCCAAACAUGUCAGUGCCAUUAUAUAGGAGCUAUCUUAUUAAAGGUAUUAAAUUCAAUAUCAAGGCACAAGAUGAUGUGCGGACAACUCAAAAUAGUGGAGUUUAUUUACUUGCACAUACCAUGCAAGUUGCUAGUGCCAAGGAUAAAAACCCAAUUCUCUCAAAUAUGGGUUUCUAUGGUGUCAUUCAAGAAAUUUGGGACCUUGACUACCAAAAGUUUACAAUCCCAGUCUUUAGGUGUGAUUGGAUAGAUAGUUCUGGUCUUGUAGUCGACGAACUUGGAUUUACCCUUGUAGAUUUGAGUAAAAUUGGACAUAGGAAUGACCAAUUUGUUUUGGCUUCUCAAGUCAAACAAAUAUUUUUUGUUGACGACCUGAUGCAUCGUGGUUGGUCGGUAGUGUUAUCAAUGCCUAGUAGAGAAUAUAAUGAUGUUAUUGGUGAUGAAGUAUUAGGUGAUGUGAUAAUUGAGUGUGAGCCAUUUACUAGAGGGAUGCCAAAUGUUGACACAUUUGAUGAACUGGUAGGUGAGUUAGGUGGUCAAAAUAUUCGAGAUGGGUGUGAAGAUAUAUGGAUUGAAUGAUGCUUAUGUAAUUGGCAGUGUAUGACAUUAAUUUUGUAAUAUAUUGUAAUGUGAUUUCUUCACUUUCUACGUUCAAAUAAAACACGACGUUAUUGUGAAUCAGUUAUUCAGCAUAUUUACCGACGUCUUAAAGCAACGUAACAAUGAAGAACCACGACGCUAUUGUGAAGCAAUUAUUCAGGAUAUCACGUCGGUGAAGGAUAAAGAACCGCCAUGUAAUUCAAAAUAACACGACUCCAAUCCCAUAAUACCGACGUCUAAAAAACGAGAUAUGUAAUCUGAACGUUAAAAAAUACGACGUCAUCAUACAUUUUCCACGUCGCAAGUUCUUUUAUAAACGAAGAGGAACGAAAUUAAUUCCGACGGAAAUUCAUUAUAACCGCCGUCUAAUAACAAUUAAACGACGUUAUUUGUAAUACGGCUCCCAUCAUAAUCUACGCCGUCUAUAUGUUCUGUAAUACGGCUCUCAUUUAUUUGGAACCGACGUUGUUUAGACGUUCAACGUCGUCUAUAUUAUUAAGUGCGUCGUGAGUAAUGAAUACAUAUAAAUACAACGUCGACUAUAUAAAUGUAUACGUCGUAAAUAAUGACACUGACAACUAUUUCCACGUCAUCUUUUUUAGAUAAAAUCGAAGUGGAAAAUUUAUUUCACGACGGUUUUUUGUAAAUAAGAGACGUUGUAGAACUUUAGCAGACUAAACACGUCUGUUUUUAUUGUUUUCCGACGUUGUUGUAUUUAACAACGUCUAAUAUUUAUGGUCGUUGUUUGUUUCUGAAAAUAGGACGUAUAAAUUUUUUAAUACGACUCUCAUAUAUUUGUAACUGACGUUGUUUAGUUUUUCAACGUCUACUAUAGAAACACAUACGUCGUAAAUAAUGACACUGACAACUAUUUCCACGUCAUCUUUUAUCAAAAAAUCGAAGUGGAAAAUUAAUUGUACGACGGUUGUGUUUAUAUGUGCGACGUAGUAGGUAUCAAUAACGUCGUCUUCUAAUGUAUUUAAAGACGUCAUAUUUUUUAUUGUCGUGAAAAUUAUAUUUAACGUCGGCGUAUUUUUAUUGUCGUCGUUGUAUGUCUAUCUUGCGGCCUUGUUCUCUUAAUAUGUGUCAUAUUUUCCCUUUUUAACGACGGUCUUUUUAGAGAAUUGGUCGUCUAUUAUCAUCAUCGAUUGCUUUUUUUAGAUCUUUUGCAGUACAAAGACGUCGUUUUGUAUUUUUUGAUGACGUUGUAUUGUUUAACAACGACGGUUAUUUAGCGUCGUGGUUUAUGAGGGAAAAGAUGACGGUGGAUUCCACGACCAUUGAAAAACCAAAUACACGACGGUGAUUUACCGUCGUCUUUUUGCUUUUUUGUAGUAGUGCAAAGACAGAACUCUUAUGCCUUGCCCUUGUCUAUGCUGCACAACGAUUGCGACAUUAUUUUCUUGCUCACAAGCUACAGCUCAUAGUGAAGUCUAAUCCUGUAAGGUAUUUACUCACAAGACUAGUGUUGUCAGGACACCUUGCACAUUGGUUGCUACAACUAUCUGAGUUUGAGAUUGCUUGUAUAACCCCGAAAGCUAUCAAGGGGCAAGCCGUGAUUGACAUGUUAGCCCAAUUACCUGAAGCAAAGGGGUCUACCCUAUCCAAAGAAGUGUUGGGAGAGCUCCCGAAAGUAGUUGCCAUUGCUACAGAGGAGGAACCAUGGACCCUCUACUUUGACGGUUCUUCUACAACCAAUGGGGGAGGAGCAGGCGUAGUACUUAUUAACCCCGAAGGGCAAGCUACAGCCCUUUCAUUCAAACUAGAUUUUCCAUGCACAAAUAAUAUGGCGGAGUAUUAAGCUUUUGUCAUGGGAUUGUCUACAGCAAAAGAAAUGGGUGCAGAAAGGAUGAAGAUCAUCGGCGAUUAGAAUCUGGUGCUAAGUCAAUUACAAGGAAGCUUUGCUGUGAAAUAGGCAACCUUGGCCCCCUAUCGUACAGCUGCUGAAAGACUCAUUAAUUAUUUCAAGCAAAUCGUGAUGGAGCACAUUCCAGGGGUCACCAAUACGUAUGUUGAUGCUUUGGCUACGUUGGGGUCAAAGCUUUCGUUUAUCCAAGAGCAGCCUAAUAUCACCGUAAUAAAGAAGGGUAUGCCCAUAAUCGAAAUGAUGUUCCGGGGGGGCUGCUGGAAGUAGAGGAUGAUUGGAGAAAGCCAGUUAAAGAAAAGCUAGGCGAAGGAAGUAACAUUAAAGACCUAAAAGAUUAUGCAAUCAUCUUUGAAGAACUUUACAGACGUCUCCUGGGGAGCAUUUUGACCCGGUGUAUAGGAGUAACAGAAGCACAAAGGAGUUUGCAAGAGGUACAUGACACCACUUGCAGCUUGGAACCAGUGAUUAGUUUGUAUCGGCGCCUGCAACGCAAAGGUUAUUAUUGGCCAGAGAUGAAGAAGCAAACAGCUGAAAUUCAGUCCAAUUGCCCCACGUAUUCGACGAUACCCUCUACCGAAGAAUCUUUCACCAUCUCAUUUGAGAAGGAUUGGAGGGCUCUAUACUUAGCGUUCUUUGUUGAGGGGACUCUACCAACCAACUCCAAACUUGCCUACAAGCUUAAAAAGAUGGUAAAUAGGUAUUUUGUGGAUGGGUCGACUCUUUACCGAAAAGGGUUCAGUGGUGAGCCACUAAAAUGCUUGGGAGAAUCAGGGGCACAUCAAGUCAUGCAGGAAAUACACGCUGGAGAGUGUGGAGAGCACUAGGGAAUGAAGAGGCUUCACCGACAGCUAUGAAGUUUUGGGUAUUACUAGCCUACCAUGAAGAAAGAUGCACAUGACUUUGUCAAAAGAUGCCACAUGUGCCAAAUUCAUGCCAAUUUAAGUCACAAACCUCCUACGUUUUUGCAGGACAUGCGCACUCCUUGGCCUUUUCAUACUUGGGGGCUUGACUUAAUUAGGACAAUCCAUCCCCCUUCUGAUGGUUACAUAUGGAUUCUCACUGCCACGGAAUAUUUCACAAAGUGGGUUGAGGCAAUUCCUCUUUGAAAGGCCACAAGAGCUGCUAUCUCAAAAUUUAUUUGAGAAUACAUUGUGUGCAGGUUUGGAAUCCCGUACAAAAUGGUUACUGAUAAUGGCACGCCUUUUGUUAACAAGCAAGUGAGCUCAACACUUAGCGGCUACGGUAUCAAGCAUCGCCGCUCCAUACCCUAUUACCCACAGGGAAACGAUCAAGCGGAGGCUACAAACAAAACCAUACUGAGGAUUUUGAGCAAAAUAGUAUAUGAGUACGAAGGUGGUUGGAGUGUUCAUUUGCCAGAUGCCUUGUGGGCUUACUGCACCUUUCCAAGAAGUGCUACAUGUUUUUCACCUUAUUCGCUUGUGUAUGGGUCUGAUGCCAUCUCACUUGUGGAAAUCACCAUUCCCACGGCCAGAGUAUCGGCUGUCAAUGAUCUUGAAUGGGAUGGCGCUUAUUAGACCUCGAAGCCAUGGACGAAAAAAGAGUAUAAGCCGAAAGAAAAAUGGCACUUUACCACAAAACUGUUGCCCAAGCAUAUAACAGGACCGUCAAGCCUCAAACCUUCAGACGAGGAGAUCAUGUGCUAAAAGUUGUCGAGCAUGUGAGAAGACAAGUGUCGGAACCUUCCAAGUUUGCUCCGCAAUGGGAAGGCCUGUUUACAGUCAAGGAAGUACAUAGCAGUAGCUAUUAUCGCUUGAUCUCCGUCAAGGAAGGCAUGCUAACGAAUCCCAUCAAUGGAAAGUGGCUCAAGCCUUACUACUGCUAAGUAGACAUCGUAUCUUACCUUUUGUGUUAUCGCAUUUCCUUUUUAAAUAUGGUCUCCUUCUAUAUUCUGCCUUUUGCUCUAGGAAACUUUUGUAAGAUGUACCAUCAUGGUACCAUGGGAUUUGAAAUGAAAAUGAAGGAGUGUUUUGAGAAGAAAAAACAAUUGUCUCUGGAAAUUUAUCUUUUUGCAUCCCAAACUCCUGUGUAUAUAUAUCCAGAGGAGAUAGAAUAUAAGCAGAAAUAGGUAUAGGCACUCAAGUAAUAAAUAGGCGGAGCUUAUGCAUGAAUGAAAUUAAUGAAUAGAUGAAAAUAGAUUGAACAUAAAUAUGACUUUGAAACAUAGAUUUUAUUGAAAAUAACUUUGAUAACUAUGAGAAAUGUAAACUUACAAGAAAUCUUGACUGAAGAGAUUUUGAUCCCUCAGAAAGUACAAGAGUUCAUCAGGGUAGUAGUCUUGAGAGAACUUAUAAAACUGAGAAAAGUAAAUUAUACAUUCUGAGGAUAACUAAGGUCGAAGCCUUCUUAAAUAGACUAGAUAACUUGACUAUUGGGAACUACUGUGGAAAUCAUACAACUUUUGACUGAAAUCAACUUUUGCUUUUUCUUUUAGAAUCUUGACUGUAGAAGCACGCGAGAGCAUCUGCUUUUACUGGUGCUGAAAUACUUUUGCUUUUGUCGGGGCUCAUGAUGACUGUCUUAAAAACUGCUAAUCUUUGCCGAGAUCAAAGGGACUGAAAUCAUAGGGGUCUUGACUAUCAGGAGGAUAAUCACUCCACCGCUUCUUUUGACUUGGAGGGAUCCGAGACUAGCUAGUAGAAGACUGAGAUUUAGGGGUAGCAUCACUAUUAGCAUCAUUAUCUUCAUCAUCAUUCAUUUGGGAGGCUUGAGCCAUCAACUGUCUAGCAAUUUCUUGUAAUUCUGACUUUGAUUUUCCCUCGACUGGGAGAGAAGAAUGGGACACUGCAGGGGAUACCUUUUUCUCUGACGCGAGAGGCUUCAUAGGGGGUAAUCUGAAUAGACAUAAUCAGCAAUUCUUUCAAUUUUAAACUUGUCCCACCAUUUGAUUGAAAAUUGGUAGGAGAGAUAUCUAGAAUCCCAAUUGACUUGGUAUAACCAUUUAAGAAUCCAUGGGACUUUAUAUCUAGCAAUGAAAUGGAGUAAAUUAGGGAAGAACAACUCUGACUCAUUGAACUUAUGCUUAUUGGUGAAAUAAUUAACUAGUUCUUGCAUUUGAGGGGGAAGAAGCUCAAUAACUGGACCAUGUUUUUCCCACCGGUGGAGGAACCAGAAGGGAAAAGGACUCUUGAAUUUACUAUCAAAAUUGAUGAACCAAGAGUGAUUGAAAUCAACUGUUUGAUGAAGCAAAAUUGAAUACCAGGCUUCAAUAUAAUCAUAGUAACUAAAUUGGACUUCUGACUGAAGAAGUUUGAGGUCAUAAGGGUGCUUGCUCCAUUCGUUUUAACUGAGAAUUCGAUGGAUGUAUAGGGAGUGGAUAAAGGGUAAUAGUUGGAAUAUUUCGAUCUUUAAUUGGCUUGAUUUCAAUUGAUUGGGUCUCAAGAAGAAUAUCUCUGUAAUAAUUUAAAUUCUUAUAGGGGGCUUGAGGAAUGAAGUGGCAAUUAGGGGGGAAAUAUGACCUUGCGAUUGUAAUUGGAUUAGCAAUAUUAUCAUAUUUAAACUCAACAAUAAAGAGACAACUGGAGGAGUAAACUGAGUAUUGACCUGGAAUGGAUCAUGACUGGAGAUUAAGGCUGACUUUAAACUAGGACAGAUUUGGCCUACUGUGGCUCCUAAGGUGGCAAAUUUGUUACUGAUCUGAAUAGGAGAACAUCCCGGGUAACGGGUAAAGGACGAUCUGGGAAGGUGACUCUGAUUUGGGUGUAUUCAUUGAUGGGGGAAGUAUUCUGUAUGACUGGGAUGACUGGAAGUGACUAGCUUGCUCUUUUUGCUUGUCUUUUCUUCUAUCUGCCAUUGUUUUUCCUGGAGAAAUUCUCGAGUAAGAAAAUCAGGAACAUAAUUCUCACUUCCUCCCAAAUAUUCAAUAUCAAAAUAAAAAAAUGCUUAAAAUUGCUUGCCAUUGUGCAAAAAUCUGUUUGGAUGCAAUAUUUUGAACAUCUUUUUCUAAUACAUGUUUAGCAGACUUACAAUCAACUCGGACUAAAAAAUUUUUAUUUAAUAAAUCAUCUUAGAAAUUUAUUAAUGCAUAAUACUAUAGAUAAUAUUUCUUUCUUAAUAGUACUAUAAUUACUUUGUGACUGUGUCCAAAUUCCAAAAUGAAAUUGGACGAUUUGCUCAGAUUGACUUGAAUUAUUAUUUUUUUUUUUAGAAUACGGAGACCAAUUUCAAAGGCAUCAGUUUCGGCUAUUUUGAAGGAAUCAACUAAAAGAAUACCAAGACAGGGAAGUGUCUUGACAUGGACCUUGAUUUGUUUGACUAUUUCUGUAUGAGUAGAUGACCAGGGAGGAGGAUCACUCUGGAGAGGAUCAAUUAAUGGCUUACAUUGUUUUCUCUGAUUCUGAUAGAAAUCCGACACAUAAUUAAGAGAUCCUAAGAAUCUUUGAAGUUGACUCUUGUUUAAAAUUUAAUCAGGGAAUUUUUCUGCAAACUGGAUGACUCGAUCAAUUGGACUUAUUUGAGACUGACAAAUAUUAAAACCAAGAAAUCGGAUAUACGUUUGGAACAACUUAAUCUUCUUAGCAGAGACAACUAAACCAUUUUGUUUAACUAUAUGAAGAAACUUAUGCAAAUGCUUCCAAUGCUGUUGUAUUGACUGGGAAAAGAUUAAAACAUCAUCAAUAUAAACUAUGAAAAAAUGACUAUAUUGAUUAAAUAUCUCAUUCAUUAAAUUUUGAAAUUCACUAGGUGCAUUCUUAAUACCGAAAGGCAUAACAUUCCACUCAUAGUGACCGAAUGGGAUAACAAAAGCGGUUUUAUACCUAUUUGACUUACUAAUUUGAAUUUGCCAAAAUUCACUUUUCAAAUCAAACUUAGAGAAGACAACUGCAUUUCCUAACCUAUUAAUUAAGUCUGUAUUGGGUACCUAAUCCAUUCUAAGACUGUAUUAAGAGGUUUGUAAUUAAUAACUAAUCUUGGGGCUCCACGUUCUCACUCAGCAUUUUUUUGGUCAUAAAAAGCAGGACAAGACCAUGGUGACUUACUUUUGCUAAUUAUUCCUUUUUGGAGUAAUUCGGAAAUUUCAGUUUUACAAAAUUCCAUUAUAUCUUGAUUCAUUUGAAUCGGUCUGGCUUUAGUGGGAAUAUUCUUUUCACUAAAGUUUUUAACAUAGGGUAAACUGACUACAUGUUGCUUCCUAUGCCAAAAAGUGUUAGAUAACUCAGAACAGACUUCUAUUUUUAAUUUGUCUUCGAACUUUUGAAUUUGUGACUGGACAGACGCAUCAUUAAGCUGUUGUUCAAUUCUCCUAAAGUUAACUUCUUCUUUAAGAAAAUUUAGUUGUUUAUUCUUACUUUCAAUUAUUUUAACUGUCUUUAAAACUGCGCUUUUCUGAAGGGCUUUCAAAUUGUGCAAUUCCGGCUUAGUUAAAAACUCAAACUUAAUCUUUUCACCUAAAUUGGUAGAAAUGACUCCAUCGUAUUCUACCUGGAAAGGAUAUAAAAUGGCAAUAAAGGGUAAUCCUAAAAUGACUUCAUCAGUAAUAUUUUUUACUAAGACAAAUGAGGUUUUGAUGGAAAUUUUGUUUUGACAAACAUGGGCUUUAGGGAUUUCAUAAUUUAACUGGUGUGAUUUUCCUGAGGCAGUGCUUAAUGACUCUUUUGACUUUUUGUAAUAUUUAGUGGGGACUAAACCUUCUCUAAUACAAUUAAGGUCGGCUCCUGAAUCAAAUAAGGCAACUGUGUUUAAUUCAAAAUUAUUAAUAAAUAAAGUGACUUUAGAAUACCAUUUCCUAAAAUUUACUUGUUUAAUUAAAUUAAUGGCUUGCUCAUUAUUGGAAUGAUAAAAAGGCUCUUCAUCUGAAUGUGUAGGGGAAUUUGUAGGGGUUUCUUUAGACUCAAAACUUCUUUUUUCUAUUAAAUUAACUAAAUCUUGUUUAAUCUCAAAAUUCUCAGCUUGCAACUUAUGACUCAUUUGUCUUAACUCUACAAUUUCUUUUUUGAUUAGUUUUACUUCUAAUUGUAGAUCUUGUAAAGUAACUUCUUUUCUUUUCUUGUUGAAUUUUUCUAAAGUAGUAUUCAAACUUAUUUUUUGGGGAAUUGAUUGACUGGGUUCUUCUUGGCUAAUGACUUUCUUAAUUUUUUCAGAUAUUCAAAUUUUAACUAUGGGUUUUCAACUUUGCUGAUUAAAUCAAUUAAUAAUUCUUCCUGUUCCUCUUGCUUAGUAAGGACACUAAUUGACUUACUUAAGACAUUACAACGUUUAUCUUUACAACCUAACUAGAUAUUGGGUGAACUAGGUUGGGAAUCCGUAGACAUAUAAGCUGCUGACUCAGUGUCGGUAACUAUGGUUUCAUUUUCACUGGACUUAGAAUUUCUUAAUUCUAAAACUUUAAUUAAUUUUUCUUUAUCUUCAUUCAUGAUUUUCAACUGCUUUAUUGUAUCUUUAAUUUUACACUCGUUAGCAUAAUGACCAAACUUUUGACAUUUGUAACAUUUUACUUUUCUUUUGUCGGUAUUCUUCUUAAAGCUACUUUGCUUAUUUUUCUCGUGACUCCUUUUCCAGUUUUUUCUUCGAGUGAAACUUCUUUUGACUAUAAAACUCAUUAUUGUUAUUAUUAUGUCGGAAUGACUUUCUUUUACGUGAGUAGUGGCAAUUUUUACUAGAUGGGGGAAUCGAUGCUAAACCAUAUUGCUCACAAAAAUUUCCUAAUUAAUACUUAGCGGAAUUUCUUUCUGAUUGUAUUUGCUUACCUAUUUGGAUAUCAACACACAUUUUCAUACCAACUUGGUUAAUUGUGCUAAUAAUAUUACCAUAAGUCAAAUUAUCAUAAUCUAUGUGACCUUGAUCAUUACUAAGAACUGUGCGUAUUUUAUGGGCAAAUAAAUUUGGAAGGCCAUUAAUAAAUUUUUCUUUCCAAAAAGCUUGGUUACUAUCUUCUCUUAGCAUGACUCUGGAAAUAAAGACAUCUUUAUACCAUCUAAAAUCAGACAAUUUUGGGCAUCUUAGAUUGCUAAGUUGAUCAUGGAUUCUAGUAGUGGUAUGGCUCGGUGUUCCAAUAAAAUGCUCAAUUAUGGCAUAUAACAAAGUAUUGACUCCGUCUUCUAUACCUUGACCUAAAUUUUCAUCAAAUAUUGGGAGACCUUCUUCAUUAAGUUUAACUGCAUGAAUUAUUUGACGUUUAGAUUCUUCUGUCAAACGUUUAUCCCACCAAGAACAUAAGAUUCCGGUGAAACCAACUUCUAAUAAAGGCACUAUUUCUGACUGCCUAAAACUGUGAUUGGUGACAUAACUAUUGGCAACCAUGGACAUAUGAGUUAACUUGUUUAAUAUUUCUUGCUCAAACAGACCAUCUAUAUUCCAUUCAUAUAAUUUAUCUGAGGAAACUGAAAACUGACUCUGGGAAUUUCUUUCUGACUGUAUUUGCUUACCUAUUUUAUAUUUAUAUAUAUAGCAAUAUUAGGCAAAAAUAAAAAAUAAAAAAAACAACAACAACGCUACUUAGCAGAAAGCAUGCCAAGCAAAGUCACUAGUAUGAAUCCCAGAUCAUUAACAAGCUUCAUGCUUAAGCAAAAUAAAAUGGAGCACGCAAAGUUGAGCAUUUACAAAGAAACUAGCAUGCCCACAACGUCCAAGAGCCUUUGGGGGUAAUUUUUUUUUUUAAUUUUAAAAAGGAGGUAGCGAGAAGUUUGAAUGGGGUUCCUACCAAAAUUUUGGCAGCAUCUACCUUGUUUCAUCUACCUUGUUUUAAAAGGGUACCCAACCUGUAAGAAGAUCUCAAGCAAAGAAUUCCACCAACCAUGCAGCAUAUAUAUAUACCAAACAGGAAUUACAAUGUGUCUCUAGCAUCCAAAAAAAAAAAGGGGACAUAGGUUCCAACAGCUUAAACACAGCAACAUUACAGUACAAAGUUUCCAUGGUACAAGUUCUAGGACAUCCAAAGGAAAUACAGCCGAAGUAAAAUUAAGUUAUACAAGCCAAAGAUUAAUGUAUUCUUCAGUUUCAAAAGGAAUUCUAAAAUGUGUCAAGCCAGUCAAUCUCGCACCAAGCAAACGCAACCUACAAGGCCGAGUAACGGUAAAUGUCAUAAGAAAACAGGCUGGUGUGCAGGACAAGGCUACUAAAGGAGAAAAAGGAGGAGUAAAGUGAGAAGGGAUGAAGAGUCACAGACCUAAAAGAGAACAGAGGCGGCCUUAUGAGAGGAUCUAGCUGCUGCUUCUGCCACGCAGCCGGCACCGUUAGCAGAAACACCUUGGGCAAGAAGGAGGGCACGCAGUUCCCCAUGCUGGUUUUCCAACUCACGCUGCUUAAGAUUCAAAACCCUUCCCCGUUGGUUUUCCACCUAAAAAUUGUUGAUGUCAUCACACAAAAAUCUCCAAAUGACAAUGUUAACCUAACAAAUUAGAUUGUGCAUAAACCCCAGGUCUAAUCGUUGAGGUUAAUUUUUUUCAUUUAAAUUUGAAAAGUUUUUUUUUUAUAAUGAAAUCAUCAACUUUUUCGAUAGGAAAUUAAAGAAAGGGAUUUUGCGAAAAUAAUUUGAAAUUUUAAGGGGCUUUUAGUGUAAUUUCUAAAAUUUGAAGGGAUUUUGUGAAAAGACUACAGACCUCAUAAGGUGCCAAUGUAAAUAACUAUAUCUAAAAGCCAUGUAUUUCGGUGUGCUCAAGUCACAACUCCCCAUUCACAAUUCUUUACCAUUCUCAUGCAAUCAACAAUUGGACUGAGCACAAUACGAAAACCAAAAUAACAAAUCGAAUGAUGCAUCCGUGGCUAGAGGCCAUGAGGUCUUGUAGAGAAGUAGAGUGGAUGAACACGUUAUCAUCAAUUUUGAAAGAAAUUUACAAACUUAUCCUUUAGCUAAUGUGGCUUAGUGUAAAUCAGUAGAUCAUUUAAAUGGUUCAGAUUUAUGAAAUGUUGGUAAAUGCACAAUUCCUAAAUGCAGUUUUUAUAAAAUAAAAUAAUAAUAAAAACUCAUAAUUUAACCCCUAUUUUCACAAAUGUCAUUUUUUAUAAAAACUUUCAAAAAUAACAAAAAACUCAUCUAAGGGCCAUUUGGCAUUGUUGUGCUAUGAAAAUAAUUGCUAUCAGAUUUGCUGUGAGAGAAAGCAAUUUGGGGUUUGGUAAACUUUUUGUUAAAAGUGUUGUUUGUACAAUAAUUAGUUUCUGAGUGUUUGGUAAAGUUUUUUUUUGUGAAAGUGCUAUGAGCUAUAAUGACUAAAAAGUGCAAUAUGUUGAAAUGACUUUUCUGUUCAAUUGUUUGGUAAAAAGAAAAGCACUUUCACUUUCUCUUAUAUAUUUUUUUGUAUUAAAUAUGUAUCCAUCGCACCCUAAAAAUUAUUUUAAUUCUAAAAUAAAUAAAGUAUUCCAUUAAAAAUAAAUAUAUUGGCAAUAAUAUGGUCAUAACAAAAAUUAAACUAGUCAUAAACAAGCAAUCAUAUACAUUUCUAAGUAGAUGAACUCAUUAAAUUUGCAGCUAUAUAAUUUCUCAAUGCCUCAAUUUCUUGUGUUACAAGACCAUCUUCUUGUUAUGCAUCAAUCUCUCACUCAAUAUGUUCACCUUGAAAACCAUUUAGGUCAUCUUCACUUUCAUCAAAAUGACAAUUGUGGGAGUGAUUUUCCUCCCAAGAGAAUAUUCGUCUCGUGAUCCCUUCUUCCCCUUUGUUCCUCUUUCUCCCUGCAAAAUAAUACAGAGUGAAAAGACCAUACUCGGGGGGUGUUGGCCAAAGGCCCUUUGAUGCCAAAGUCAAUUAAAUGAUUCUGAGAAGAAUGUAGAAAUAAUUGAAAGGUAGGAGGUCUUUUUCUCACGAGGAGAACUGAGAGGCCGGAGCUCCGUGUGAAGGCUGGAGUCUUAUGUGAGAGAGGGAGAAAGUGGCGAUAGCAAGCUUGUGAGAGGGAAUUUUUGCAAGCUUGUGGCGACGGCAAACAUGUAUUUAUAGGAGUCUUGGUGGCUAGGGUUUUAGAAGAAUAAUUCCUCACAUGGAAAGGAAUUGUUUUUUCCUAAUUUGGAGAGAUUGAAUCACUUAGGGAUUUGAUUAGAAUCCAAUCUCCAAUUAUGGCAAGAAUCCCAAAUUUAAUCAAAUAACCCCCAAAUUGAUGGGAUUAAUUGUUUGACCAAGGAUUUGCAAAUAUUUUCUUCCACAAAUGCCCCCCCCCCCCCCCCCCCCCAAAACUCCUGCAUGACGCAUGGUGCAUGGUGGCAUGGAGGAGGCUUGAAUUAAUUGUUGGGCUAUUCGUCUGCAUUUGGGCUUCUUUUUGUGACUUGGAGGAGGAGGGCAUUGACUUACUAAUUUUUCUAAAUUACAAACUUACUUCCUCUACUUUCCGUUAAUGAGAAAGAUCUUAGAGGAUUGUCCUGCUUGUCAAGGAGAGGAGUUGCCGUGUAAUCCAAGGUAGGACAACUUGGAUUUUUUUUUUUUUGAUUUUUUCAUGUUAUGAGGUCCAACUAGUGGGACCAACUUGUAUAAUUACCGGACUUUGGUAAUGGUGGCACAGCGGUCCGGUGGUGUUUGGUGGCAGUCAUGGUUACGGCAGCUACAGUUGAGACUUGCAGCUAGGGCUGGAGCAACAGCAAGGGCUGAAGGUGCAGGCCUGCUGUUGGAGACAAGCGGGCCUGCUGCUGGUGGGCAACCCUAGAAACAUAUCAAGUUCAUGACCUGUGGCUCUGAUACCAAUUGUUGGUUUCAAAAUAUUUUUAAGAAGUUCAUUUGAAUGUUAAACUUGCAUUUAAUCAAAUUAAUCUUAGCGGAAUGGUGGUUGUUUAACUUUCUUCCAAGUAUCUUAAGCCAAGAACAUUGAUAUGUUUUCAAAAAAUGAACGUACAAGCGAAAAGGACAUGUUGUAAUUACCCUUGAAGCUAUAAUAUGAACCAAGUUGUGUUUUGGUCUCCUCUUGAUGACUUUCCUUUGUUGAUCUCCUCUUGGAUCUUUCUCCUCCUUAUGAGCCAACAACGGAUAUAGCCUCUAAGUCUCCAUACUAAUGGAACCGUGAGAUGAGAGGGAAGAAUCUUGGGAAUUCAAAGACGCUAGUGCAAGAUCCCCAAGACUUGGUUUCAAUCUAAACCCCUUGAAAGAUGAAAAUGUUUCACUCUUGAAAACUCUAUUUUAUCUCUCUUUGAUCUCCCAAACCUAUUUGGUUGAUGUUGGAUUGUGUUUAUGUGUUCAUAAGCUUGUGGAGAUAACUUCCAUACACUUACUUAUACAUUUUUGGCCAAACCCCACUAGGCUUCUAAUUUUGGGUCUUAGGACACUUAAAUCAUAGUAUUUAGGGGUCUUAAGCCAUUGGGCUUGUUACCCAACCAUUUGGGCUUCUCGUUAACUCUUACCGAUGCCCAAAUACACUUUUACACAUAGUAAAUCAUCCGCAUCAAAUCAAUCAAAUUCAUUUCCACAAUUUCAUAUAUUUUUCUCAUAGUUAACCAUUUAAAGUGUGCGAUCCAUUAGGUUCUAAUUAGCAAGGCAAUGGAAAAAUAUUAGAACUCUUUUUAAUCAACUAGAAUUAAAACCCCCUUUUUAAUUCUUCCUUUAUAUGGAUCGAUCACAAUUAAUCCUAAGACUUCCACAAGCCAAGAGUGACAUCUAGCAAUAUAUCAAGGCUACCCAAGCUAACCAGAAUAGUUGAAGAACCUAUUCAAUUGGAAUUGUAAUGCAAUACGGUCCUUAUCUAAUACAAUGUUUCAAAUCAUAUUAUUAGGGUACAAAUUGAUUAUGUCAAACCCCUCAUAUGAUUAACCUCAUCUGAUUCAAUAAAACAUGAUUAAGAACCACUUUCUAAAUCAUGCUCAAGUACUUCGGACGAAGAUUCAUUGAAUCAUAUCUUGAAACAUGCUCCUUUAUCAAAGAUUGAGAUUCCUUAUUGUACAUUUAUAUGCCCCCAUAAUGAAUUAAGAGAUCCCAAUAACACAUAAGGAAAAUCUUUUACGACUCGCCUGUGCGAGCUAUCAAAGAUCAAUAACGCAUCACAAGACAACCAUGAUGCCUCAGGUCUAAGGACUAAUUUGUAUUAUUGCAACUAUGAGUUCUCAUUUGACAUGUAUAUGAAACUCCAUACGAGAAUUUCGGUUGACCGCGUUCAGUGUGCUCAUAUCAUUCACCAAUGAGCACCACAUACUUAUAUUAGUGUCAUCUUCACAAAUGGUUUGAGACUAACUGUCCUCCUAAUUGAGCAUACAUAGUAUGUGCUAAUCUUGAUGGUUUAUCAGUGCCCAUUUGAUAAUCCUUUGAUUAGGAACAUUUGGGAUACUACAGUUAGAGAUUAAAGGUCUACCAAAUCUAAUCUUCUUUAGAUUACUUUAUCUCUUAUUUAGCAUACCUUGGACAUUUAUUUUUUACACGAUACAAAAGAUAACAAAAUAAACUUGCCAUUUGUUUAUCAUAUACAAAAUGUAUUCUAAGGAGAUUACAUUAAAUGUAUUGGCUCUUAGAACACAUUUCUAACAUCUCUCUGAAUUGCAAGGAGUCAGCAAAGAAGAAAGGGAUGACUUUAGGUUUUGUGACUUUUAUCUCACAGAGACAAAGAUUGAGAGUUACGAUAGGAUGCUGGGCAUGAGGGUGGGGGAAGUUGGUAGGUAUGGUCGUGUGGUGGCUAGGAUGAGGGUGGUGGUUGUCGUGGAUGUUUCGAAUGGGGAUAGAGAACUAAUCGCCGUGGGUGCGUUGGUGAAAGCGGCUGGCCAUUUAUGGGGGUUGUGGGUUAGUUUUUAAUUUUUUUUAAAAAAAUACUUUUAAAUUAUUUUUUUGCCACAUCAGCAUAAAAAAUGUAAUUUACAUUUGCCACAUCAGCAUUUAACGAAUCAACUAAUAGAUUGGGCAACGAAGGAUGUCUUUUGAAAGGUGUUGCAAAGUUUGUGUAGUGGUCAAACGAGUCAAUAAACAUUGAUUAUAAAUUUGUAAUUGCACCCAUAAUUUGGGGGUUUACUCUAGUUAAUCCAAAUUUCCAAGGUUAUAAAGUACUUCUAACUUUUAUUAUUAAAAUCUAAACAAAAUAAGGAAUGGUUAAAUUUCUAAUAUUACUUACGAUUUGCAGUAUCUUAACUCAAAAUGUCCAAUUGUCAAGUACAGAUGCAAUAGUAAUAAUUGACGGAAAAAAUGAAGAUUUGACAAACAAGCAUAGGGUACAGAGAGGCUUCUCUUCCUUGGUUUCAUUAAAAAUUUCUAUGUUUUGUUCACAAUUUAUCUAAUUUUUACCUAUAUCAAUAUUUCCUAAACUUUUGAUAUUUAAGACCUUGAUUGAUCACCACUGAAGCAAAAUGAAUAACGCUACUCUUACCAUAUUUGUAUAUCACAUUCCCAUAUCACCUUAUGUGAGAAAUGAGGUGGACAACCACAUCAAUUAAAUUUAUUUAACAUUAUUUUUAUAUGAUUUACUUUAAAAAACACUGUUAAUUAUUAUUAUUAUUUUAUUAAAAUACACUUCAUUGAUUUAAUUGAUAUGACAUAUAAUAUAUGGGAUAAAAAUAUAAUAAAUGUAGCAUUACUCAUUCAAAGUACACAGCUUUUCUAUCUAGUGGUGAGAGUGGUUUAAUUUCCAACAACAUGCAUGUGUUGGUUCAAAACAUUAUACCCACAGUUCAGCCAACUAGACAUGGCCAAUAUGACAUCAAUCACGUUCCAAAAAUUUGAAUUUUACAAACAUAAACACCUUUCCUUCGCAAAAAGACAACCUCCAGAGCAACUUUUUUCAACUUCCAUCUAGAAGAUUGCCUAUAUAAAUUUGAGGUCAACACCGCACAAGAAAACCCUACAAUCCAUUUCGUAGAAUAUAUUUUUUUUUUUCAUUCCUAACGAAGAUAUUUAGUGGAGGUGAGCCCUUAGCAUCAGCCAUUUUUACUUUUCUACGUCGGCAAUGUGAUUCAAGCUUUCACAACAAAUGGAUGACUCGUAAGUAAUGUGGUUAAUUUCCUUUGAACUGUAGAUUUUCAUUGGGCACACUGUUUUUUUUUUUUUAAGUAGGUACAGAACAUGUGUGAUCAAAACCUGAUGAUCUUUAGUUUUAACCCAUAAAAAACUUAACUAAUUUGGAAGAAAGAUACUGAAUUUUGCUUAAUUAAUAUAAAACCAAAGCCACCUAAUUUUACCAAAAGGACAUCCAACAACCCUAAAAUUACUACAUGUGCCAUUGUGCUUAACUGUCAAAUACAGUUUAUUUAAUUAUAAACCAAAACUUAAAACUGUCAAAACGACAUAACAUUCCCACAAAACACAACACAAAACGACACUACUCAAAUUUAAUCACUUCAAAAACUGGUUUCGCACGACCUUUCAUAUCUCACUCCAAAAACGCAACCGACGAGCAGAAACGAAGACAACGAGAACGGCGACGGCGACGACGAGCAACGACGACGAGCAACGACCACCGACGACGAGCAAAGACCACCAACGACGACCGAAGCUAAACCGUAAGAAAAUGAAUCAGUACUCUCUUCGAUUUUAGGUUUUACACCGACGAAGGUUUCAGUACUGUUUCUUCCUUUUGUUUUCUGGUUGUUUGUCUUCGAUUUUGACCAGAAACUGCAUUGCAGUUUCUGGUUCCAAAAUUCAAUUUCAGAGUGCUUUUUGCUAGGGUUUAUGGGAAUGUUAUAACUGCUCAUGAAUUUAAAUGUGUUUUGAUAUUCGUUUUUGCUACCGUUUCUUCCUUUUGUUUUUUGGUUGUUUGUCUUCGAUUUCAGAGUGCUUUUUGCUAGGGUUUAUGGGAAUGUGAUAACUGCUCAUGAAGUUAAAUGUGUUUUGAUAUUCGUUUUUGCUACUGCUUUUGCCUUUUGGUUUCUGGUUAUUUGUAGCAGAUUUCAGAGUGCUUUUUGCUGGUUUAUGGGAAUGUUAUAACUGCUCAUGAAGUUAAAUGUGUUUUGAUAUUCGUUUUUGCUACUAUUUUUGCCUUUUGGUUUCUGGUUAUUUGUAGCAGAUUUUGACCAGAAACUGCAGUGCAGUUUCUGGUUCCAUAAUUCAAUUUCAGAGUGCUUUUUGCUGGUUUAUGGGAAUGUUAUAACUGCUCAUGAAGUUAAAUGUGUUUUGAUAUUAGUUUUAGUACUUUGCCUUUUGGUUUCUGGUUCCAUAAUUCAAUUUCAGAGUGCUUUUUGCUAGGAUUUAUAGGAAUGUUAUAACUGCUCAUGAAGUUAAAUGUGUUUUGAUAAUAGUUUUAGCUACUGUUCUUGCCUUUUGUUUUCUGGUUAUUUGUAGCAGAUUUUGACCAGAAACUGCAGUGCAGUUUCUGGUUCCAUAAUUCAAUUUCAGAGUGCUUUUUGCUAGGGUUUAUGGGAAUGUUAUAACUGCUCAUGAAUUUAAAUGUGUUUUGAUAUUCGUUUUAGCUACUGUUCUUGCCUUUUGGUUUCUGGUUGUUUGUCUUCGAUUUUGACCAGAAACUGCAUUGCAGUUUCUGGUUCCAUAACUCAAUUUCAGAGUGCUUUUUGCUAGGAUUUAUGGGAAUGUUAUAACUGCUCAUGAAUUUAAAUGUGUUUUGAUAUUCGUUUCAGUACUGUUUUUGCCUUUUGGUUUCUUUUCACAUCAAAUUUUGAGCAGCAGUUUCUGGUUGUUUGUUGCAGAUUUUGACCACAAAAACUGCAGUGCAUAUCAAAAAAUGGAACAAGAAAUGUCACCACAAAAGAAUGAAGCUGAAAACCAACCAAAGCGCAGAAUCAAAAUGAUGGCUCAAAGGAUCAAAACAAAGCCAAAGCCAAACUAUGAUCGGAAAGCAAAGCACCCGGACUAUGUCCAAUUUCGGUGCAAUGCCUAUGCUUUCAACAGCAUCAUUAGAGACAUAAAGGACAAGCUCAAUGAAAGGCAGAAGAAGCUUCUCAAGAAAACCCCUUUCUGGAACUUGAUCGAGCUGUUUUACCGCCAGAGAAUUGACAUGAAUAACAUGAAUAAGUCGGACAUUGACUUAGCACAGCUGCUCAAGAAAUUUGAUCCGGAUACAAAGUCCUUCAAAUUUGGAACCAAAUCAUUCCAAAUCACAAGCAAUGCAGUGACUCAGAUUCUAGGACUGCCAAAUGAAGGCAAAUCUGUCAAACUUGUCAAUGAUAGGUACACUGCUACCUUCAGAACAAGACACUUUGGAGAAAAGGGAAAACCUUCAAAAAACCAGGUAGAAGCAGAAUUACAAAAGACAAUGGCCUUGGCAAACCAACCGAAGAAAGAAAAGGCAAAGACAAAGCAAAAGAAAAAAACGAACAAAGGAAAAGAAAAGAAAGAAGCUGAAGAAGAAGAAGAAGAAGAAGUUGAUUACGACAAGGAGGUGGUCAGCCUAAUGUUGAUUCUGCUGUGCAUGACAUUCCUUUUUGCCAACUCUUCAUCUACUUUGCAUUGGAAAUUAUUUGAGCACUGUGUGAAUCUAGACACACUUUCAAGCUAUUCGUGGGCAAGAGCUGUUUCAGCCUAAAUGAAUGAAUCCUUGACCGCAAAAGCAAAGAAGGGAGGAGAAGCCUCUAUAGGAGCUGUUUCGGGUUGCACUAUCCUAAUAUUGGUAAGUAAACAGUGGCUUAUGCAAUGCAUUUUGAGUUUUAGGCAAUGCAGUUUCCAUUUAGUGCAAUGCAGUUUCCAUUUACUGCAAUGCAGAAAUGGAAACUGCAACGCAGUUUCUGUUUUAUCCUAUGCAGUUUCCAACCUAAUUUCUGAUAUAUCUUGUUUUUGAACUGUGCAGUUUCUCUGUGUGAGAGGACAAACAUCACACAACCAAUCCUUGGCAAGGAGAAAGAAACUCCUGCCAUUCUUAAAUGGAGUCUUGUGGAACUCCACACAAGAUUCAACCAAAUAAAGGACUUGAAUGACAUCGAGGUGUGCAAUUUAUCGCAUGUUCUGUUUUAAUGUAUCUUGAAUGUGAAUCCAUGCUAAAUCAUUCUCAUUGUACAGGGUAUUUUUAAAACUCCUAAAAAGCGAAAAACUACCAGGGAAGAGGAAGACACUGUUGAGAAGGUAAUUGAAAUCUGUAUACAGUGCAUUGCAGUUUGUGUUUUCUAUAUUGCAGUUUGCAUUUUAUCCAAUGCAGUUUCUGAAUCAUUCAAUCUCAUUGUACAGGGUAUUUUGAAAACAUAUAAAAAGAGAAAAACUACCGGAGAAGAGGGAGACCCUCUUGACAAGGUAUAAGAAUCUCUAAACAGUGAAUUAUGCAUUUCGGUUUUCGUUUCCUCCAAUGCAAUGCAGUUUCUAAUUAGUUUCUGUUCAAUAUGCAGGAAAAAGAAAAAGAAGAUGAUGAGGGAAAACCUGAUGAUGCAAUUCAAGACCUCUUGGUGAAGUCCAUGACAGACCAAAUCAACUACCGCCAACAACAAGAUCCUAGCUUCGUUUGCCCGGAAAGAUUACAACUGUGGAAGGAUGAAAAAAAUGAAGACAGUGAGAAGAAAAUGAAGGAAUUGUGGGAUAUAUUUAUCCAAGCAGAAAAGAGAUCAAAGGAGCUGGAAGUGGAGUUGGCAACAUACAUAGAGAAAUUAGAUAAUGAAGAAUGUGUGACUACCACCAUGACAGUGGAAUCUACAGUUCAGCUUAAUGAAAUACAAAAUCUGAAAAGGAGGAUUGCAGAAUUGGAAGGCAAGGAAACUGGUAUUGACAUGGAGAAGAUUGCCAAGAAAAAGGAGAUUCAAGGAAAGUAUAAGGCAGAAAUUGAAAGCUUGUUGUCAGACCCAACAAUCUUUGAAAUGGAGAUGGAUCUGCCUACAAAACAACCAACACAACCAGUUGAAGAGAAAGAAGAAGAAAAGAAAGAAGAAGAGAAGCAACAAGAAGAGAGAGAAGAAGAAAAUAAAGAACAAGAGAAGCAACAAGAAGAAAGAGAAGAAGAGAAGAAGCAAGAUGCUCCAACACCUGAUGUUCCUUCAAGAGUACAAAAGGUGAAGAACAGAGAAAGAAAGAGGCUUCAAGCAUCUUGCUAUGUGUACGAAAAAAAUAAGAAAACAAAAAAGGAGGCAAAAAAGGAUGAUGAAGAACUACCACAAUUCAAGCUUAUCUCUUCCGAGGAGGUAUGCAAUUACUGCAGUUCAAGCUGCUGCUUUUUUCUAUUUUCUGCAUUGCAGAAACAGAAACUGCAAUGCAGUUUCCAUUCCCUGCAAUGCAGUGUGUUAUCUGCUUUACAGAAACAGAAACUGCAAUGCAGUUUCCAUUUCCUGCAAUGCAGUGUGUUAUCUGCUUUAUAGAAACAGAAACUGCAAUGCAGUUUCCGUUUCCUGCAAUGCAGUGUGUUAUCUGCUUUACAGAAACAGAAACUGCAAUGCAGUUUCCAUUUCCUAUAAUGCAGUGUGUUAUCUGCUUUACAGAAAUGGAAACUGCAUUGCAGUUUCUGUUUUAUCGAAUGAAGUUUCUAAUUAGUUUCCUUUCAAUCUGCAGUUAACACAAGAGGCAUCUCAGCCCGAUGCCACAAAUCCAAUUCCUGAUCCCCCAAAAGGAACGAGCCUUCAUGAUUCAAUACCUGUGGAUCUGGAACAAUCAAGUGAUGAAGAUGAAGGACAAAAAAAGCCAACAAAGAAAAAAUUAGGAUGGGGUCAGAAGAAGGUGUGGCAGAAAAUUCCAAAGGCGGACAGGGAAAGAAUUGAAAAACACUACUUAAGUACUCAACUUUGGUAACAUCUCUAUUCCAAAAUAACAAUUCUUUCAUCUUUUAAUUACAAUUAAACUAAAACUAAUCUUGUGAAUUUCAUGUAUUCGAAUCCGCAGUGAUAUCUUUUGGGCAGGACUCAAUGAUGAGAAAGUGACAAACCAUGAUCUCAAAGAUAUUGUAUGGGACCUGGAACUGUCACAAAACGUAAGUAUUUACCAAUUCUAUAACACACACUGCACUGUAUUUUUUAUUUGUGCUACCUAUAUUACCCAUUUAUAAUUCCAUUUUUCUCCAAUCAAUGUGAAACAGGUUAUUGAGGCCUAUAUCCAAAUAGAGGAGGAUAAAAUAGAGCCCAUGCAGACAGAGAGUCCACAGUACAUGUCCACAUGGACUUGGGUAAGUAUUAUUUUGAAAAUUCAAAAUUGUUUAAACAGACAAUGCACUGCAGUUUUCGAAAAAUAUAUACUAACAAAUUGCCAUUCUGUGAUAUCAGGCUUACAUGCAAAGCUUCCUAGAGCCAUCUUGGCACAUGUUCCUGUAUGAACCCUUACUUGAAAAACUCGGGAAAUGCAGUGUUCUUUUCUUCCCGAUUAUUUCACAAGAAGAGUUCCACUUCACACUUCUCACAUUUCACAAAAAUGAACGAAAGUGGAGACACUACAAUCCACUUAGAUCGUUGGGACGUAGAAAAGAAGAAAGGUGCAUUGACAUUGCUCGAAACUUUGUAAGUGGAAUGAAACUGUCUUAAUUUCUCAGCACAAACACAAACAGAAACUGCAUUGCAGUUUCUGUAUUAUACAUACUGCCUAAUUUCAGACCAAAACUAUAAUAUGCAAUGCACUGAUUACCAUUUCUUUUUCUCUUUUUUUUUCUUCUUCUUUAAACAGGUUAAUAUUGUUGAAGGGUGGCUAGAAUAUAUAAGACCUCAAGCACGAGUGUUCAUAGAAACAAAAAAAAAACCAACACUUGUGAAGCAAAAGGAAGGGCCCCCGACACUUGUACAAAAAGAUUUGACUCCAAAUGAAGAACUCACUCUCAAAUGGAUUAUGCAAAAUCCAUUGCAGUUUCCAUUUGAGGAUGACAUGGAAUGUGCUCAACAAAGUGCAUCUUCGUAAGAAUUGUGUCUACUCAACUAUUCAUUACAGUUUGAAAUCAUUCAAAAGCAAAAAAAACUAAUCUCGUAUUUCAUUUGCAGAUUGGAUUGCGGCAUGUUCAUCAUGUUCUAUAUGGAUAAAAUAGCACAAGGACAGCCCAUUCCAAAAAGCGUGGACAAGAAAUUCAUGAAUGAAUAUCGAGCACAAUAUGUCACAAAACUCCUACACCACAAAAACUGUGUAAUUAAUCGUCUCUAGUGAUUUGCCUUUCGUUAACUCAAGACAAUAUGUAUCUUAAUUGUUGUGGAUGUUUGUAAAUAUUUCUAGUUAUGGUAUAUGAGAACAUAUUUCCUAUACAUAUAAACUGUAAUAUAAUCUUGGAACAGGAUGCAACAAAACCAAAAGGAAACAAACAAACUGCACUGAAUUUUCUGGUCAAAAAUACUGCAACAAAUUAAAACUGCAGUGCAGUUUAUAUAAAUAAAUAAAAAUAAAAAAUCAGCUCAAAAAAUGUGAAAAGAACCCAAAAGCCAAAGCCAUAAUCAAAGUACUAAAACUUUGUUCAAAACACAUUUAAGUAGGUCAGCAUUGAAAUGUAGUUUCUGCUCAUAAUCUGCAACAAAAUCUGAAAUAAACAGAAACUGCAAUGCAGUUUCUGCAACAAAAUUUGCUCAAAAUCUGAAAACAAGCAUUGAAUGGCAGUCGAAAACGAAUAUCCACUCGUUAAACAAUUGUAUAAUUUUCAUUAACUUCAAAAAAGAAUCACAAUAUCCAAUUAGACGCUGUGUAGCCAAUUACAAGCAACUAAAACUGCAAUACAGUUUUUGCAAAAAGUGCAACGCAGAAACUGACUAUACAUUCGCUAAACCAUAUCUAAAAUAAAAAAUUGUCAAAUGAGAAGGAGUGUUCAUAUAAUAGCCUUGCAAGUCUUCCUAUUGUGCCCAGCAACACUGCACCGACUGCAUUUCAAUGGCCUUUUAAAUUCACCAAAAACUUUGAUCCUCUUUGUUGGUGGUCUUCCGGCUGGCCUCUUUGUAAUUGGCGAAAGCACAACUCCAGCUGCAGAACCUGUAACACCCCGACCCCAAAUUUCCCCAAAAUUUACCCUUAUUUAAUUAUUUAAUUAUUUAAGGGUAUUUUAGUCAUAUUUUUAACCGGAGAGAGUUUGGGACCGUGACUUAUAUUUUUGGAUAGGUCGUACUGAGACGAGUUCAUAGACACGUAGUAGGCUUGAAUCGGAGUUGUAACGAGAGAGAUAUGCUCAAAAGAAAUCCAGUGGCACAAUCGUAAAUAUUUCAAAAUGGGAUUUUUUUAUAAAAAACCUGGUUUUCUCUCUCUCUCUCUCUCUCUCUCUCUCUCUCUCUCUCUCUCUCUCUCUCUCUCUCUCUCUCUCUCUCUCUCUCUCUCUCCCCCGCGGGUCUCUCUCUCUCCUCUCCCUCGCGCGCGACAGCCGGCCACGUUUUGGCUGGCUGUGCUCUCCUCCGGCCACCAAUGGCGACGGGACCGGUACCAAAAUGACCGGGCCGUCAUCCUCUUCCUACCCCAGCCAGCCCCCGCAUCCAGCCGCCGCGGUUUCGCCGGAAUUUGGAGAAGAAGCGGCGGAUGUCGCCGGAACUUCAACGCCGUCGAUCUCCCUCCUCCGGCCACCAAUUCCGUCGACCCAGGUAUGGAUUUUGAACCUCUCAAGCUGCUCUAGCUGAUGGUUGGGUAGGAUUAGAUCGAUUCUUAGCGUAGAUCACUCGAUUUUCGAAUUGAAAAUCGGCCGAAACUUCGGCCGCCGUGAUCGGCCAUUUUCGGCCACUUUUUGGGGUAGGUCCAAGAACAAAAGUGGCUCCAAAUAGGGUGUUAUACCUAGGGUAGGAGUUUGGAGCCGAGAUGUUGAGAUUUUCCGGCGAAGCGUUAUCGCUUUGGGCACCCACGCGCUGCCGGCGCGUGCGGCGGCGAGUGGGCACUGUAGAAAAAGUAGCGAUGUGUUCCAAUGAGAUCCUUAGGUUGUCACGAGUGCGUAGGAUUUCGCGGAUCUCAAUUCGGACGUCGUUUGACUAUCGAACGGAUAAUCGCAUAUUAUGCAUUAUCCGGGUUCGAUAGGUUGGGACCGUCGGAUGGUCCCAAAUUUAAUAUAUGUUAAUCUAGGUAUUUCUAGGAUCGUGUAGGAAUUCACGGAUCGUGAAUCGGAGUCCCGGAUGUUCCGAAUAAUAAUUUUAAUUUUAUAUUUUAUAUUAACCGUCAGAUCGUGCGAUCGUGAGCAAUCCGACCGUCCGAUCUGAACCAAACUUGCAGGACAAGUGUCCUAUACCUGGUAGAACCCAUAGGGACUUCCGGAUCGGAAAUUGGAGGUCGUGGGUUUUGCAGGUCCGGUUGACCAGGGUUAGAGUAGUUUGACCCUUGGUUGACCGUGAGUCUCCCGGAGUAAUCUCACCUUUCUAGGGGGGAUUAUCGGGUGCUAGAUGAUUGUGGAGGGUUACACAAUAUUAAAAUUAAUUUAUAUAACUAUAAUUAUAUAUGGUUGUACAAGGGUACAACAGAGUCUAGAAUGUCAGUUUGGAGUGCUAUACGCACUACUUUAGGUACCUCCCCAGAUUUUGGAUUCACUGCAAGCACCACCAAGUGAAAGUUAGGUCCCGCGUGGCGUAGGUUAUCCGGCGUUGGGACAGACCCCAUACGUGGCGUUGGUUGUACCGACGUAUGGGGAGAUUUACAAUAUGAUGUUCAGGUCUCACGUGGCGUAGGUUAUCCGGCGUUGAGACAGGCCCCGUACGUGGCGUUGGUUGUACCGGCGUACGGGGAGAUUAUGUGAUAUGAUGUUGAGGUCCCGCAUGGCGUAGGUUAUCCGGCGUUGGGACAGGCCCCAUACGUGGCGUUGGUUGUACCGGCGUAUGGGGAGAAUAUGUGAAAUGCAGAGAAAGGAAAUAAGGUAUCACCGAUGUGUGGAAUUGGGUUUUAGGGAAGAACUACGUGUGGCUUGAUCCCUCAAGAAGGGUACGUAGGCAGUCUAAGGUUAUUAGGUGCAGCCGCAGACUAAAUAUUAGUCAUGAUUUGUAUUUGAAUGGUUUGGUAGUUGGAUAGGAAUUAUCGAAAGGCCGAAGGCCAUUUGUGUGAAUUGCAUGAAAUUAUAUUGUGCAUGCUGCCAGUUGGGAAUAUUAAAUGCGUUUUUAUGCAGGUUGAAAUUUUGGGAAAUGUCCAAUUUAUAGGGGAGACUCUGCCGAAAUUUCGGCAGGAAGUCUCGGUUUUUAGUAAGUGGGCCUGGCAUCGGGGUGAUGUCAGGAAUUCCAAAGGGUUCGUCUCGGGUUUUGAGAAAAUUCGGGGCGGUUCCUUAAAGUUGGUAUCAGAGCUCUAGGUUCAAUUCCCUGUGGACCCUGCACUUUAUGUGCAUCCUUAAAUUGUGGGGAUCAAAAUGGGUUCCAUCUCAGAAUGGUACAUUUGCGACGUUGAGGACGUCACAAAAGUCAAAUUAUUUCACAAAGGAAAGGUACAUAGGCCGCCGAAGCAUGAGUAGAGCUGGAGCUUUACCACAGACAGUUGUUGUUUCGGGAGGAUAUGGAGUUGAUCAACCUGCUUCUAGGGAUCCUCCAUUGCCUGAACAUGUUGCUAAUUUUCGAUUGUGUGCCUAGAGCACCGAGUCGAAGAUCCUAAGAGCAUAACCUCUCUCUGGGACGAGUAACUCCCCGACAUUGGAUCAAGGGAUCCAGGGUCUGAAGGGUGGCGUUGGUAUAAUCGAAAUCACAAGUGUCUCUUACAGAAAGAGGCUCGUGUGUGGUGGGAAUACUAUGGUCAAGUCUAAGGACGAGACCCAGAUGGAUGGAGAGAGUACCUUGGGGUCUCAUCUCACGUGAGCACGUUUGAGUAGAGAUCUUUCAUCGGAAUCAGAAAUGGAUCAUGGUCGAGAGAGAUCGACGAUGAUUACAAUUCGGUAAAAAUGAUCCUUUCUGACAUUUCUCUCAAAGAAUCAGGUUGGCAGAUUAAAGGGAGAAGUAGUGGAGUUGGGUGGAACCGUACUUCAUUCGUGUGGGCUUGAAUGCCGCGAUUGACAGGAGUGGAACAUUAGGGUUCUUCCUCCUUGCUCUCUCACGUGAGCUCGCCAUAGUUAGAGAAGGAGACUUCUCUUUCUCUGCUUGCUUAGCUAGAGCUUUUGGCUUGGUUGCCAACGCGGUUGUGGAGAAAGAACUUGGGAACCCGAGUGGUAGAUGCAGGCCCCAUGCUCACAACCCUUCGAGUGACAAGGUAGGAAAUUUCGGGGACGAAAUUUUUAUAAGGGGGGUAGUCUGUAACACCCCGACCCCAAAUUUCCCCAAAAUUUACCCUUAUUUAAUUAUUUAAUUAUUUAAGGGUAUUUUAGUCAUAUUUUUAACCGGAGAGAGUUUGGGACCGUGACUUUUAUUUUUGGAUAGGUCGUACUGAGACGAGUUCAUAGACACGUAGUGGGCUCGAAUCGGAGUUGUAACGAGAGAGAUAUGGUCAAAAGAAAUCCAGUGGCACAAUCGUAAAUAUUUCAAAAUGGGAUUUUUUUAAAAAAAACCUGGUUUUCUCUCUCUCUCUCUCUCUCCCCCGCGGGUCUCUCUCUCUCCUCUCCCUCGCGCGCGACAGCCGGCCACGUUUUGGCCGGCUGUGCUCUCCUCCGGCCACCAAUGGCGACGGGACCGGUACCAAAAUGACCAGGCAGUCGUCCUCUUCCUACCCCAGCCAGCCCCCGCCUCUAGCCGCCGCGGUUUCGCCGGAAUUUGGAGAAGAAGCGGCGGAUGUCGCCGGAACUUCAACGCCGUCGAUCUCCCUCCUCCGGCCACCAAUUCCGUCGACCCAGGUAUGGAUUUUGAACCUCUCAAGCUGCUCUAGCUGAUGGUUGGGUAGGAUUAGAUCGAUUCUUAGCAUAGAUCACUCGAUUUUCGAAUUGAAAAUCGGCCGAAACUUCGGCCGCCGUGAUCGGCCAUUUCCGGCCACUUUUUGGGGUAGGUCCAAGAACAAAAGUGGCUCCAAAUAGGGUGUUAUACCUAGGGUAGGAGUUUGGAGCCGAGAUGUUGAGAUUUUCCGGCCAAGCGUUAUCGCUUUGGGCACCCACACGCUGCCGGCGCUUGCGGCGGCGCGUGGGCACUGUAGAAAAAGUAGCGAUGUGUUCCAAUGAGAUCCUUAGGUUGUCACGAGUGCGUAGGAUUUUGCGGAUCUCAAUUCGGACGUCGUUUGACUAUCGAACGGAUAAUCGCAUAUUAUGCGUUAUCCGGGUUCGAUAGGUUGGGACCGUCGGAUGGUCCCAAAUUUAAUAUAUGUUAAUCUAGGUAUUUCUAGGAUCGUGUAGGAAUUCACGGAUCGUGAAUCGGAGCCCCGGAUGUUCCGAAUAAUAAUUUUAAAUUUAUAUUUUAUAUUAACCGUCAGAUCGUGCGAUCGUGAGCAAUCCGACCGUCCGAUCUGAACCAAACUUGCAGGACAAGUGUCCUAUACCUGGUAGAACCCAUAGGGACUUCCGGAUCGGAAAUUGGAGGUCGUGGGUUUUGCAGGUCCGGUUGACCAGGGUUAGAGUAGUUUGACCCUUGGUUGACCGUGAGUCUCCCGGAGUAAUCUCACCUUUCUAGGGGGGAUUAUCGGGUGCUAGAUGAUUGUGGAGGGUUACACAAUAUUAAAAUUAAUUUAUAUAACUAUAAUUAUAUAUGGUUGUACAAGGGUACAACAGAGUCUAGAAUGUCAGUUUGGAGUGCUAUACGCACUACUUUAGGUACCUCCCCAGAUUUUGGAUUCACUGCAAGCACCACCAAGUGAAAGUUAGGUCCCGCGUGGCGUAGGUUAUCCGGCGUUGGGACAGACCCCAUACGUGGCGUUGGUUGUACCGGCGUAUGGGGAGAUUUGCAAUAUGAUGUUCAGGUCUCACGUGGCGUAGGUUAUCCGGCGUUGAGACAGGCCCCGUACGUGGCGUUGGUUGUACCGGCGUACGGGGAGAUUAUGUGAUAUGAUGUUGAGGUCCCGCGUGGCGUAGGUUAUCCGGCGUUGGGACAGGCCCCAUACGUGGCGUUGGUUGUACCGGCGUAUGGGGAGUUAUGUGAUAUGAUAGUAUGGCAUGGUCGCACGUGGCGUAGGUUAUCCGGCGUGUUGACAGGCCCCAUACGUGGCGUUGGUUGUACCGGCGUAUGGGGAGAAUAUGUGAAAUGCAGAGAAAGGAAAUAAGGUAUCACCGAUGUGUGGAAUUGGGUUUUAGGGAAGAACUACGUGUGGCUUGAUCCCUCAAGAAGGGUACGUAGGCAGCCUAAGGUUAUUAGGUGCAGCCGCAGACUAAAUAUUAGUCAUGAUUUGUAUUUGAAUGGUUUGGUAGUUGGAUAGGAAUUAUCGAAAGGCCGAAGGCCAUUUGUGUGAAUUGCAUGAAAUUAUAUUGUGUAUGCUGCCAGUUGGGAAUAUUAAAUGCGUUUUUAUGCAGGUUGAAAUUUUGGGAAAUGUCCAAUUUAUAGGGGAGACUCUGCCGAAAUUUCGGCAGGAAGUCUCGGUUUUUAGUAAGUGGGCCUGGCAUCGGGGUGAUAUCAAGAAUUCCAAAGGGUUCGUCUCGAGUUUUGAGAAAAUUCGGGGCGGGUCCUUAAAGAACCAUUGCUGCCCAAUCCUUUCUCAAUAUCUGGAAUAGGAAAAAUAGGACUCUCAUAGGCUUUUCGAAAGAAGUCGGUUUUGUAGUAACACUCCACGUAAUCAUAAACUGAAUCUCUCUUUCCUAGGAUUGCAGCCACCGCAUGUGUGCAAGGAAAACCGUCAAUUUGCCAAAGACGGCAAGAACAAGUCCUUUGCUCGAGAUCAACCAUCACAGAAUAAUCAGCAAAUACUUCAAAAAUAGUGCAAUUAGAACGACGAACUGCCCAAGUCCUACCGGCCUCCGCAUUUUCACAGAGUCUAGUCUCCAUCUCCGGACACAAAACUGUUGUCCACUUCUCCGCUUCAAUUCGUCGUUGAGAAUUCAAUACCAUCAAUUUCUGUCGAAUCCCUUCUAUCAAAGGUAGCACCGGCAAAUCUCGAAACACACCAACCCAAUUAUUAAAGGACUCCGCUAAACUGUUUGCCAUCUCCCCAUAACGCAUUCCUUUGAAAAAUGCGUUGGCAUAGUGAUCUCUAGACAAAUCAGUUAUAAAUGUCUUCACUUUCGAACUCCCAACAAUCACCAACUCCUCCAUUGCUACCUUAAACUCUUCCUCCGUAACAGCAUAUGCGCAUCUACUAAAUAAAUUUAUAACACGGUCUUGGAGCAGUUUCCCAUAACCUGACUUCGGGUACUUUGAUAUCAAAUUCUGUUUGAGGUGAUAAUAACAGUAAGAAUGAGGCCAUCCGGGAAACACAAACCCCAUUGCAUUUAACAAACCUUGAUUGCGGUCCGAGAAAAAGGUCACCACUCUCCCCAUCGGUAGCAAUAUAGAAGCCAAAUGUUGAAGAAACCAAGUCCAAUUCUCCGCUGUCUCAGAAUCAACAACUCCAAAAGCUAGAGGAUAAAACCCUGCAAAACAAAACCAAAAGCACAAGUAUAAGCAAAAAAGGGAAACUGCAAUGCAGUUUCUGCUAAAAUUGCAACAAAUGAAAAUCUGCAAUACAUUACAGUAACCAUACCUUGAUUUCCAUUCUUUCCCGAAGCACAGAGAAGCUGCCCCUUGUACUUGCUCUUCAAAAACGUAGCAUCAAUGAACAACAAGGGUAUGCAAUAUUGAAAUCCAGCAAUGCAACCGCCAAAAGACACAAAAAACCGUCGAAAGCGAUUAAUUCCAGCUUCACAAUCAAGAGUGCAGAGAGAACCAGUGUUAGUUUCCUUUACGGCGUCCGCAUACCACACUAACUCGUUGAAGGACUUCGACUCAUCACCGUGAACGUCCAAUUUAGCUAACUCUUUGCCAAACCAUGCGUGGUAGUACGAAAUGUCUAUACCAUAAUAAUCUUUGAACUCGUGUAUAAUCUCAACUGGCUUCAGCUCUGGUUUUGCACGAAUUCUGUCCACAAUGAGGGAGGACACCACACGAGACCUCAUCAUCUUACUCUUUGAUUCCCGUAUCCGACCCGCACAUGUAUGAACAUUAUUUAACGUCCGAAUUACAAAACUGCCAGUAGCUUCACAACGAGAAGCAUAAACACGCCAGCUGCAACCCUCCAAUUUCUUAUUCGAACAAACAGUAACCACCCGCUUCUUGUCAUUGCCGGCAUAUAAAAAAUUAAAUCCUACUUCAAGAGCGUACUUGCACAAUUUCAACCGGAACUCCUCUGCACCACCGUCAAACUUCUGCCCCACAUGAUGUAUGUAUGUCUCCCACUCAUUCGACAACAAAGGCUUAGCACUUGCUCUCUUCGACCUGCCCAAAAACUUGUUUCUGUCUUCGACAGUACUAGAACACGACGACUCGCCCUUUUCACAUGCUAUCAACUCCUUAUUUACACAAAAAUCACCACUAUAUUCACUGCUCCCGCAUAAAUCCUUCACUAAAAUAUCAACAGUCUUCUCAUUUGAUAUCAACAAAAAUGUCCUCAUCAAGUCCAAAUCGCUAUCCGUUUCUAGAAAACAACUCGGAUAACUGGGCACCGAAUACCGUAAUGUGAAACAACCCAACUGCAAACCCCUAAACCUCAGACACAAAGUCUUCAAAAUAUCAACCAUGGAUGACUCUGAUGAAACUGAAAACAUGAUGGUUUCCGACUUAUAUGUGCACUUGGCAAUGACACACCCCUCCAUUAGCCUUGAAAAUGCAAACAAAACAACAAACAAAAACAGAAAACAAUUAAAAUCACUAAAUAAUGUACAUGAGCAGUUGUAACAUUCCAAUAGAAAUCCAAAUAUUAGUAUGAAAUCGAAUUAUGAAACAAGAAACUGCACUGCAGUUUAUAGUCAAAAACUGAAAUAACAGAAACAACAUUGCACUUUAUGUGAUAACAUACCCUUAAAUUUGAAUAGAAACCAAAAGAAAACCAUGUUCAAAGUACUAAAACUUAGAUAAAAACACAUUUAACUCCAUGAGCAGUUGUAACAUUGCCUUUAUGAAACCAAAAACUGCAAUGCAGUUUCUGCCAACACUCCAACAAACAGAUGCAGUUUAUAACAGAGGAGGCAAAACAAAUCGAAUAGAAACCAAAAGGAAACCACGUUAAAAGUACUAAAACUAAUAUCAAAACACAUUUAACUCCAUGAGCAGUUGUAACAUUGCCUUUAUGAAACCAGAAACUGCAAUGCAGUUUCUGCCAACACUCCAACAAACAGAUGCAGUUUAUAACAAAGGAGGCAAAACAAAUCGAAUAGAAACCAAAAGGAAACCACGUUAAAAGUACUAAAACUAAUAUCAAAACACAUUUAACUCCAUGAGCAGUUGUAACAUUGUCUUUAUGAAACCAGAAACUGCAAUGCAGUUUCGGCCAACACUCCAACAAACAGAUGCAGUUUAUAACAGAGGAGGCAAAACAAAUGGAGCCGCAAAACUGAGCCACAAGAUCACUCCACAAAAUCGAGCCACAAAACUGAGCUCGAAAAACCCAAAACUGAUAGAUUCGGCAUGAUAAUCGAACGAAAGAUUAUCCAAUUAGAAGGAAACAAACAAACUGCACUGAAUGUUGGAACAGGAUGCGGCAUGAUAAUCGAACGAAAAAGAUUCGGCAUGAUAAUCGAACAAAAAAACUGACAGAUUCGGCAUGAAAAUCGAACGAAAAAGGAAGAAAUAAAAGGAAAACCAACCAGAAAAUUGAGCUCCAACGGCGAGAAUGAAAACGAAAACGAACGAAAUCUGCUUGCCAAACGAACGAAAUCUGCCUGCCAAACGAACGAGGAUGAAAACGAAACAGAGAAGAACAAAGCGCUGCUGCCAAACAAACGAGGACGAAAACGAAACAGAGAAGAACAGGCUCGCGCCUUGUUUAAACAUUCAGGGGCAAAAGCGUCAUUUACUUUGUAGGUUUACAAAUGGGCCAGGCUUUUUAAGAAGAAGGGUAGAAUUGUCUUAUCAGUUGUUAUUUUUUACCUGGCCCAACGAAUCUGGGCCUCUCUUUGGGCUAAUCCAAAAUAGUAGUUUUUUCCUAGGUAUUAAAACUAAAACCAAAAUAUCCAAUAUCUUACAAACUAAUUAAUAAAGUUAAUUAUGUCUAAAACCUAAUUUUUCUAAAUAAAAAAAAACUGAUUCUUUUUGUAUGCACCUGAUCAAACUAUUCUCUUUUUUUUUUUUUUUUUUUUUUCAGCGUCGACUGUGGACUGUGGGAUCACUGUGAUGUACUAUAUCUCAACUAUCUCGAAGUGUCAGAACAUGGCACGUUGUUUUACAAAGAACACAAUGAAGGAAUAUCAUGCAAAAGUCAUCAACAAAUUUCUUCAUGAUGGAAAAAGUUGGAAAGAUGAAUGAUAUUUUGCAGAUGAACAAGAUUAUGAGUUAUGAUGUCAUGGCAUUAAAACUCCCCGGGGGUUAUGACAUGCAUGUGUGUUGGCAUUUGUUACAUUUAUGGAAUGCGAUAUUAUGUUGGACAAAAAUGUUUUUACGUUUUGUUUUAGUUUAUGAUUCAGAAGCUUUCUAACCAAGCAUUGUAAGAAUUAGAGGUUUUUUUUUUUUUUUUUGGAUGAACGGUGUAUCUACUAGCAUGUCAUUUUCCAGAUGCAAAUCAUGUUGUUGAGGCACCAAUGUUUCUUCAGACUAAUUAGUCAAUCCAAUUUUACUUUUUGCACCUGCUUGGAAUUUGCUAAUAUUGUACCUGUUGCAGGGGUCUUACCAAAGGUGUAGUAAAAAAAAGGGGGUUUACACUAUUUGGAAUCCAUUUUUAAUGGUGUACCUGGUGGAUGUCAUUUGUUUUGUCUGUAAACUAUUGUCAACCAUAGGCGAUAAAGGAGGAAGUUAUCCUUCUUUUUGGAGUAGACGUUUUAAGUAGAGCAGGGUAUUUACCAUACAUUACCCUUCAGAUAACCGAUUGGCAAGACGUCAAUUUCUUAUUAGUAUGAAUCAAACUGAUUCGGACACAAUUAUAUCCAAUCACACGGUUCUAAUUAAUAAUCAAGCAACAUAACAUAAUUUAAUUGAAACCAAUUGUUGUUUUUUAAUGAAUGAAAAACAUAUUCUUUCAUAAAUGUAUUUUCUCACUGUCAUUUGUCUUCAUCGUAGUUUAUCAUAGAAGGUACUGGAAUACUUAUUUGAAUGACAUGUUGGUUUCUUUCCAUCAUAUAUAAUUAAUUGUCUUUUUGCCACUGUCAGUUUGACCAAAACCAGGUACACUAUGAAGCAUGGGAGAGACCUAAAAAUGGGCAGGGUACCUGCAAAAAAUUCCUUGGAUGACAAUGAUUAUUAAAACCAAACUCACACAGUGUGCAAGAUGUCAAAAUAAUUUAAUGAUUAGAAAACCUGUAGGUAUAUAAGCUGUCUGUAGGUACAUAAUCAGUAUUUACCUACAUGGUGGGCUGAUGUUGAUUUUCUGUACUGGCAGAUAGGUCACAACUAACAAUCAAUAUACAAAAGUAUAAAACUUAAAAAUUGAUUCUAAAAAAAACAGGAUCAUGUCCAACAGAACCUGUUAUCAGGUUAUCAAAAAAAGCAAAAAUCAAACCAGGUUUAGAAACAGCAAAAAUCAAACCCACCUAUUUUCGUGUAGGUAAACUAAUACCCAGAUACCCAGGUUUGCUCUGGUUUUGCUCUAGUUUGUAUGCUGUAGGUCCGUAACCAGGUUUUAAAAAACCAAAAAUCAAACCAAUCUUUUUCGUUUAGGUAAACUAAUACCCAGAUACCCAAUUUUGCUCUGGUUUUGCUCUGGUUAGGACUAACAAUGAAAGGGGCUCCAUGUACAUAGAAGAGAAAGACGUUUUUUACCUGCAAUUUGACGGCAGACCACUCAUGCUUGCUAGUCCGUGUCGAAUGCUCCGGAAUUUUCAAAUGGAAUUUCAAUACCUGGAAUUUCUUGAACUACAACAGAAGAAACCCCUCAAUCCAAUUUCCACUUUUAGGAACCCUAAUCAGAACACCAAUCUCCAAACUAAAACCAUAAUCAAAACGUAUGACUAAGAAAAUUAACCCCAUAAUCAAAAUGGAUAAUUAAUUGCAGACACAAAUUCUGGAGAGAAUCACUACAAUAAAUAAGGGGACCAAAACUUCAAACACCAGCCUCUUACACGCUCAAUUGUAAAUAGGGGUAUUUUGGGAACUUAAAAAUCAUAAUAAAUCAGAUAUAUAGCUUAAUAAGGUAAUUUAAUGAGUUGAAUUCUAGUCAUGGGUUUUGGUUAUAGAAACAAAAAGUAAAGGUUGUAGGUAAGUCAAAUUGAAUUUAAAAGGGAUAAGACAAAUUUGCUAUAAUUUUUAAUGUGUACGUUUAUUGAUUCCUGAUGCCAUGCAACUAUAUUCAUAAAGACUUAAGGGCAUGUUUACGUAUCAGUAAUGGGUAUGGGAGGAAAGGGAAUGAUUUCCAUUCCUGACUUCCCCUGCGUUUACUUGCAAUCAGGAAUGAAAAAAUAAGUGGGCCCCACCUCAAAAUCCGUAAUCACAUUCCCUCAAAACUAGGUAUCAGAUCGACUAGGGGGGACUAGUCGAUACGAUUCCCAUUCCUGCUUUCUCUUAUUAACUUCCAAAAAUACCCUUACCACUUUACUAUAAUUCCAAAAUAACUCAAACCCUAAAAAAAAUAAAAAUACACGCUAGAAGGAGUUCAAACAACUCAAACCCUUAACGUUACAACACAUGUGACUUCUUUUGUGAAUUUUAUCUCACUUGAUCAAAGAUUUCUUAGCCAGGUUAGCUUGUCUAGCUUUUGGUUCAGAAUAAAUUGCUGAUAAUUUUCUUUGAUAACGGAUUCCCUCUUACUGAUUAAUUCAAAACCCCUUUUCCUAUAGCUUUUGGUUUUGGGUGAAUUUUAUAUAUGUGAUGUGGUGAAAAUGUGUAGGGCAUUUUAGUAAUCAAAUUAAUUUGGAUUCUGAUUCAUGAAAAUUAGUAAACAAUAACAAUGGGAAUCAACCCCAUUCCUUUACUAAUUUCGUAUGUUUAGUAAACAGCUUAAUGGGAAUGAUUCUUCCCAUACCGAUUCAGUAGUUCCCCGAUUCCUAAAUUAUCUGAUUCCUUACUUUCUCCAUUACUGAUACGUAAACAUGCCCAAGACUUUUUUGGACUUUAAGGCGUCGUUUGGUACACAGGCUUGGCUUGGACUGGCUUGGACUAAAUUUAGUACCAUGUUUGUUUCAUUUAAUUCUAAUCUUAGAUGGGAUUGCUAAUACCGGGCCCACCAAAAACACCUCCUUAGGAGGGGACUACUAAUCCCAUGUAGAAAGGGAGGAUUAGCUAGUCCUAUGUUUACCAAUGUAUGAGAUGCAUAUAUUAUAUUGUAAUACUAAUAACAUAUAUUACUAUUAUUAUUAUUAUUACAUACACAUAUACUAUAAUGUACAUAUAUACAUGUAUAUACACAUAUACAAGUAUAUAUAUACAUAUAUAUACAUAUAUAAUAUAUAUAAAUACAUAUAGAUAUAUACACAUAUAUUAUUAUUAUAAUAUACUCAUAUACACAUACAUAUUAAUAUUAUAAUAAUAGCAUACAUGUAUACAUGUAUAUAUGUAAUAUAUAGGGAGACUUUGGAAAAGCCCAAAGGAGAGAGAAAAAUUUUAAAAGAAGCCAAAAUGGACAAAAUUACCCUUAUUUAUUUUUUGAUUUCCUAAGGAAUCCUUUACAUUUGCAUGUCUUUUGUUUGAAAGUUGAGAGGUUUUUCUGUCUUUUUUGAAAAAGCUUUGGCUUUUUCCAAAAGUGAAAGUUUUUUUAUGAGUAAAACCUAAAUUUACUUAAUAUAUAUUAUAUUAUAUAUUAAUGUACAUAUAUACACGUAUAUACAUGUAUAUAUAUAAACACAUAUAUACAUAUAUAAUAUAUAAAUACAUAUAGAUAUAUACACGUAUAUUAUUAUUAUAAUAUACCCAUAUACACAUGCAUAUUAAUAUUAUAAUAAUAGCAUACAAGUAUAUUUGUAAUAUAUAUUAUUAUAAUACAUAUAUAUAAGUAUAUAUACAUAUAUGUGUAUAUAUUAUACCCAUGUAUGUAUUAUAAUAUACAUAUACACACGUAUAUAGACAUAUACAUUAUACAUUUAUAUUAUAUGUAUAUAUAUAUAUUAUAAUAUACAUAUAUACACGUAUAUACAUGUAUAUUAUUAUUAUAACAUACCCAUAUAUAUUAUCUAUUAUAAUAUACAUAUGUAUAUGUAUAUGUAUUAUACCCAUGUAUAUAUUAUAAUAUAUAGAUACACCUAUAUACACAUAUAUUAUAUACAUGUAUAUACGUAUAUAUAUGUAUAUUAUAAUAUAUAAUAUAUAUAUACAUAUAUUAUAUAUAGAUAUGUAUUUUAUAAUAUAUAUAUAUAAUAUAUAUGUAUAUAUACAUACAUAUAUAAUAUACAUAUAUACACACAUAUACAUGUAUAUUAUUAUUAUUAUUAUUAUUAUUAUUAUUAUAACAUACCCAUAUAUAUAUUAUAUAUUAUAAUAUACAUACAUAUAUAUAAAUAUAUGUAUAUGUAUUAUACCCAUGUAUAUUAUAAUAUACAUAUAUACACCUAUAUACACUUAUAUAUAUGUAUGUACGUUUAUAUUAUUUAAAAUAUAUAAUAUUAUUAUAAUAUACUUAUAUACAUGUAUAUACAUAUAUAUUAUAUAUAUUAUAAAAUACAUAUAUACAUAUAUAUAUAUAUAUUUUUGAAAAAAUAAAAAAAUUAUAGUCCUAGUCCAAGCAUACACCAAACGCAGGAUAAGUGUUAUCCAACUUAGACCAAGCCAAGUCAAGCCAAGCCAGUCCCUAAGCAUAGUCCAUGCCAAGACAGUCCUGUGUACCAAACGAAGGCUAGUAUAUAUUGGUCAAGUAACAAUAUAUGUUUGAUUUUUAUUGUUAUCCCCAAAACCUUUCUUGGAGUAGUUCCGGUCUUGCUCCCAAGUCACCUAAUAUAUAUUGUCUAUGUAUUACACUUUAGUGAUACCACAGGUGAGGGUGCAUGUUGAGAGUAACAGUCAUUAUAAUACACUGCUUUGAAAAUUUGAUUGUUUUCCACAUUUGACUUUUCAUUCGCGGCUGACUUUAAUUUGUCUUUGAGCAUCAUUUGUAUCCCCAUCCAAUUGUACAAGAGCAUUAUUUAAUUUCAAAGAUUCGGCAGCUCAUGUUUUUUACUAGGUUCCCACUUUAAAAGUCAGCAAUUUCAACUAGGCCAUAUAUAACUAGUACUUUUAGAAACUUCCUAAAUGUGUAUUUAUAGUGUGUGUGUUCUGGACAGAAGACGGAACAAAUUAACCACUUUGAGUUUCUGAAAGCAAUAAUGCUAGGGACACCAAAGUUGUGCACCGAAUUUGGAUCCCAAAUGACUUCACAUGACACAUCAUUACUUUGGUGUCCCCCUUAGGUUUUUUGUGUUUUCACAAAAUCUCUUGAGGUAUUGAAAAUUUCACUAACCCCACAGAUGUUUCAAAUUGUUUUCACAAAACCCCUCCCAUUGAUUUUCCACCUAAAAAUUGUUGAUGCUAUCACACAAAAAUCUCCAAAUGACAAUGUCAACUUAAAAUGUUAGAUUGUGCAUACACCGAGGUCUAAUCGUUGAGGUUAAUUUUGUUAUUUAAAUUUGAAAAAAAAAAUAAAAAUUUCAUGAAAUCAUCAAUUUUUUCGACGGGAAAUUAAAGAAAGGGAUUUUGUGAAAAUAAUUUGAAAUUUCAAGGGGUUUUUAGUGUAAGUUCUAAAACUUGAAGGGGUUUUAUGAAAAGAUUAAAAACCUCAAAAGGUGCCAAUGUAAAUAACUAUAUAUAAAAGCCAUGUAUUUCUGUCUGUUCAAGUCGCAAAGUCUCAUUCACAAUUCUUUACCAUCUUCCUGCAAUCAACAAAUGGACCAAGGACAAUAAGAAAACCAAAAUAACAAAUCGAUGGAUGCAUCAGUGGCUCGAGGCUAUGAGUUCUUGUAGAGAAACCUAGAGAGGAUGCACACGUUCCCUUUAUUUCACAAUUCAUUUCCCGACCUUUAUAUCAACUUUUUGAUAAAUUGAUUCUCAACUAUACUUAAAAUGUAUAUGCCACAAUCUGAUAAAUAACUAUCUAUACUCAAUCCGUUCAAAACUCAAACGAUAUCUAAUUUAAAAUUCGAGCACAUUUACGUGCUCGUUACAACUAGGGGACCACACUGGGACACAAUGCCCCUCUGCCACAGUACCCACGCGCCGCCACACGCGCCGACAUCGCGUGGGUGUCCAAAGCGAUACCGUUCGCCAAAAAACUUCAAAAUUAAGGGCAAUCCUUCCGGUCAUAGAUACUACUCGACAAGUGGAGCAUUUUUUUCAACUACAGAAACUUCUAAUUAGGACUGCAAGUGGCCGAAAUUUCAAUCCAAAAAUCGGCCAAACUUAUGGUUAUAAAUUGAACCACCUAAGCUAGAAAUUGAUCAAUUCCUAUCCAACCAUCGGCUAGAGCAUGAAAAAUGGGUAAGAAAGCAUACCUCACUCGACUGAAUUGGUGGUCGAAGGAGGGAGAUCAAAGCCGGAAAGUUUCAAACCAAAACCAGCCUUUCCGGUUGCUAGAAUGACAGUUGGCGGCAGGGGUGGGCUGGGUUGCGACGGCGGGACCUGGCCGGUUGUUUUGGGUCCAGUCUCGUGGCUUGCAGUGUAGCGUGGGGCUGUUAUGGCGAUUGGAGGCGUCGGCUGGAAAAACCAAAGGGGAGGGGGAGGUCGCGACAUAGGAGAGGGAGAGGGAGAGGGAGAGAGAGAGAGAGAGAGAGAGAAGAGAGAGGGAGCUUUAAAAAUCAGACUUUUCAAAAUUACAGUUUUGCCCCUCAUCGUAUUUUGAUCAUAUUUUCUUCAAUACUACUCGGAUUUGAGUCCACCACAUGUCUACGGACUCAUUUCGACGUGUUCUACGCAACGGCAAUGGUACAAGCAGAAUCUCCAAAUUCCUCCCUAAUCAAAAAGUCAACUUUUAUACUAAUAAAAUAUUCCAGGGGCAAAAUAGUCUGUUAUUUGAAUAAAUUAAUAAUUAAAAAUUUAUUUAGGACCAUGUUGUUACAAUCUAUCCCCCUUAUAAAAAUUUCAUCCUCGAAAUUUCAUGCUUGUCACUCGAAGAGAUAAGGGUACUGAGCCCGUAUUUACUACUCGGGUUCCCAAGUAUCUUCCUCCACAACUUGAUAUGACGAGAACUUAACUUCCUACGUUUCCUGAACCCCCGCAUGAUGAAACUUCAAUCCGAGGUUCACUCAACUUCAAAACAUUUCAAAAACUGGCCUUUUAAACAUGAAUAUCACCAAAAUGCAAACUUAAUUGCCGGAACUCUAGUACCUUUCCCAACAUUGUUCGCUAUUAAGAACUCUAGUCCCUUGAUCAAGUCCUGAUGAAACCAGAACUGGCACUUGCUAAACUUGGCAUACAGUUGCCUCAUCCUCAAUGUCUUCAGCGCAAUUUCUAAGUGCUUCAUAUGCACCUUUUGACUUUUAGAAUAUACUAGGAUGUCGUCUAUGAACACCAUCAUAAAGCGAUCCAAGUAACAUCGGAACACUCUGUCCAUAAGAUCCAUAAACGUAGCUGGCACAUUAGUCAACCCGAAUGGCCAUAUCUUGUCCAGAAACCGGUCUUAGGCACAUCCUCCUCUCUGAUUCGUAACUAAUGAUAACCUCAUCUCAAGUCAAUCUUAGAGAAUACCUUGGCACCCCUCAACUGAUCAAACAUAUCAUCUAUACAAGGCAAAGGAUAUCUGUUCUGCACAGUGACCUUGUUCAACUGCAUGUAAUCAAUACAUAAUCUCAUAGUGCCAUCCUUCUUCUUUACAAACAAAACUGGAGCGCCUCCAAGGUGAAAAAAUGGGUAGAAUGAAACCCUUAUCCAGCAGCUCUUGUAACUGUGUCUUCAAUUUCCUCAAUUCAGCUGGUGCCAUUCUAUACGGUGCUCGAGUGAUCGGAUUUAUUCCUGGAACAAGCUCAAUAGUAAACUUGAUCUCCAAGUGAGGAGGUAACCCAGGAAGAUCCUCAGGAAACACAUCUAGAAAUUCCCUUGCCACUGGAAUAUCCUCCAACCUCAAUCAAUUAUCCUAGGUAUUAAUAAUAUGAGCUAAGUAUCCUGAACACCCCUUUAUGAGCAACCGUCUUGCCGUCAUGGUUGAAUUGAGGCAAGAUGGAAGAACUCUACGCUCACUAUAAAAGGUGACCUCAGCUUGUCUAGGACUACGGAAUAUGACCUCCUUUCGAAAAUAGUCCACUGAGGCACGAUGCUUGGCCAACCAAUCCAUGCCCAGAAUAACAUCCAAGUCUACCAUAUCCAGAGGAAUCAAAUCUGCCUCCAGAAAUACAGCCCCCCACUAACACCAAUCUGUCUCUAUACACUGUACCUAUCAUAAAGACAUCUCCUAUAGGUACAGAGAUCGUCAGCUCAUUCUGUAGAGCUGAGAGUCUCACACCUAUAAUCACAUCUGGUGACGCAUGUGCCUCCUGCUGAGACUGUUAUAUACUCUGCCUGUAGCUUUGGAACAUCCACCACGUCCCCUCUGUUGGUUGCCACCUCUGCUAGCUACACUAGUUUGGACCCUACCACUGAGCACCACUCUAUACAUCAGUCCCCUGGGUCAGCCCAGCAAUAAUCUCUCUGCCCUGGAGGAGCAUCGGGCACUCCCUCUGAAAAUGUCUAGACUGUCCACAAUGAUAGCACCCAAUGGCGCCCUGUUGACAAAGCCCAGAAUGGUAUUUGCCACACAUAGCGCACCGGGGGCGACUCCUCCUGCUAGCGAUUGGCUGUAGCUGCCUCCCAGCACCUCUAGCUGUACCACCUCUAAAGCGGUUCCCAGAACUACCACUCUGGUUAGAGCCUCCGCUGGAACUGACUCCAGCUCGAAAACACCAAAUUUGGAACCUCUUGCGUUAAAAAAAAAUAGGGGCUAAGCAACAAAGGGGGAGGUCGCAACAGGGGAGAGAGAGAGAGUUUUAAAAAUCUGACUUUUUAAAAUUACGAUUUUGCCCCUCAUCGUAUUUUGAUCGUAUUUUCUUCAAUACUACUCGGAUUUAAGUCCACCACAUGUCUACGGACUCAUUUCGACGUGCUCUACGCAAAGGUACAAAAGGAAUCUCCAAAUUCCUCCCCUAUUCAAAAAGUCAACUUUUAUACUAAUAAAAUAUUUCAGGGGGGAAAUAGUCUUUUAUUUGAAUAAAUUAAUAAUUAAAAAUUUAUUUAAGACAGGGUUGGUACACAAGUUGCAUUUUGGUCCCUCAACUAAAUUAUUCAUUCAAAUAAUCUACCAACUCUUUAUUAAUCAUCGUAUUGGUCCUACCGUUAUAUUUUUUGUUAAAUUUAGUCAUGUGGGCAGCACAUGCUACAUUUGUGGAGGUAAAUAAGACUUUUGACACUCAAAUCCCAACCCCCACCCCCUAGCCACAUCCACGUCAACAGCCCCCAGACCUGAACCCAGCACCCUAUCUAGCCGAACCCAUUUUGUCCCUGUCUCUUCCUUUCUCUCCUCUUUUUCUCUCUGUCCCUCUCAUCCUUUCUCUCCCCUCCGCCUUCAGUUUCCUAAAUAAAGAAUUUUCAGUCAUCAUCUCCAUCAAAACUAUAGCUAGGAAAACACCAUGGCUAGCCGACGCGACAAAAUCUUGAAAUCGUCAGUCUACAACGGCUUCUCGCCGGGAAAGAGAGAGAUGGAGGGAGAGGAGGAGGGAGGGGAAAAGAGGGUUGGGUGCAGGGAGGACAAGAUGGGCAUUGGGCGAUGGUUGUGGGAGAUUAUUUGAAGAAUCUAUGUAGUCAUUAGAUUGGGGUGGAGAAAUUAUUUGGAGGAGCUGUUGGAGUGAGAUCAGAAGGAACACAUUAAGCCCCGUUUACCUAAUUUUUUUUUUUUUCAAUUUUUUUAAAAAAUAUAUAGAUAGGCCUCCUUUUACACUGUUCUUCAUUUCCACAUAGCUUCAAUGGAUCUGUACCCAAAAAUGAUAUAAUAUGAUGAAAAUCGAAUCACAGUUUCAAUCUUCAAACGUCCCAAAUAAAUUAUUGGUUUUAAUGAACAAUAUCAUGAGGUCCAAAUGCGUCCUAAGGUCCAAAAAAUUUAUUGGUUUCAAUGAACAAUAUCAUGGGAGAGGGAGAGAGGUUUUUUUUAUUCUUUUAAUUUUUAGUUUUAAAUUAUUUAGUAUUUUAUUUAAUUGGGCUGUUUUAUCCCUAGAUUUGACACCAACAUUGACAGAAUGUGGGCUCGUUUGGUACACCGUAUUAGACUCUAAAUCAGAGUAAAUAGUCCAUGUCAGGGGUUUGGUGUCAACUUGUAUUAUUUAAUUAUCUGACUAUUUUAUACGGGUUGGGCUUUUAAUACUCUCCUUACCUGACUAAUUAAUACAACCCACACGCCCCGAUUUAGAUAAUACACGCUUAAUUAUACGGCUAGGGAAAAAGAACACGCGCUCUACGAGAAAAAUCAGAUGCUCUUUUCAUCUUCUUCUCCCUAGAGUUCUUCUCUACAGGUUAUUCUCUUCACUCUUCUCUAGGUAUCCAUCUCUCACUCUUCUCUCUUUUUCAUGCUCUCUCUCUCUCUCUCUCUCUCUCUCUCUCUCUCUCUCUCUCUCUCUCCCUUUUAUGAGAUACUACAAUUAUGAUAAUGGGUUAUAUGAAAAAAAAAAAAUCUUGGUAAAAACAAUUGAAAACAAAUCUUGUCAUAUGAAUCUUACCAAAAAAAAAAAUUUCAUGUCAUUUGAAUUUCAUGUUAUCCGAAACAGCACCAAACACAAUAUAACUUAGUCAUACUAUUUAUCCAGAAUAGCACAUCACCUUAUAAUAUUAUGAAAUUAGUCAGUAUAGUCAAACGGUGGGACCAAUGCGCCGAUUAAUAAAGAGUUGAUGGACUAUUUGAACGAAUAAUUUAAUUAAAUGACCAAAAUACAACUCGGGUAUAAAUUUGAGGACCAUUUAAAUAAAUAACCCUUUUUUUUAUUUUCAUCAAAAGCUUGACUUUGAACAUGAGCAAACCAAGUUUAAACUGGCUACUAUUUCAAUCCACAAAGCUUGGCCAUUUAUGGUCCCCAGACUAUUGAAGCGAACUGAUCAUUUAUGGUCCACUAAUAAUGCAACAAUUAGUUAGUAGAAAUCUAAAUAUUGCUACUCAAAUAAAAAUAUGUUUAUGGAUAUUUUGAUUAUGUGCAUAUAUAUAUUAUUAAUUAACUCAAGAUAAUGUACAUAAUAUCAUGAAAAUCAUAUUAAUACGGGGUAAGUAAGUGCAGAAAAUAGAGAACAAAAAAACUCUAAUGCACAAUGUCUGAACAUCAUGUUUUUUUUUAGUACAAGUGAUAGUCUACAUUAUAGGGAAGAGGAAUUUCUCACACUCACAAAACUAUGAUGUCGUGGAGAUUCGAACAUGAGACCUCUCUUUUGCAAGUCAAGGACCCUAUUGGCUUUUUGGUACCUUAUGCCAUGCAACCAGAUUUUAACCAAAAUAAAAAAGAAAUACAUGAUUAAUCUGUUGACGUGAGUCUCCUAAUUAAUCAAGGAGAUUUACUUCCUUGAUUAAUUAAGGGAUUUACUUUCCUAUUUUUUAUAUAAGUGAUAAAUUAUUGUACAAUUAGGAGAUACUUUCCUAAUUCUUUACUAUAUCUAAUUCCUUGUAAAACCUUCAUAUGUAAACUCCUAUAUAUACCUCCUUAUGGCGAAGAAUAAAGAACAACCCAAAGUAUUCAAACCAUAUUCAUAUUUCAGCAUGGUUUUAGAGCAAUCGAUCCUCGGUUGUCUCUAAAUUCUCAUAUCAAAUUUUCUUCAGACACAAACCCUAAAUCCUCAUAUCAAAUUUCUUCAAACUCAAACCCUACAUUAUAUUCCUCAUCUUUAUCUUUCUCAAAUUCAAAUCUCCAUACACAUAUCCCUCAUACCUUUCAAUUCCUAAACACAUAUUUUUUAUCCUUCCGCUACCAUGGAUACCAUCUCGAUUUUGCAUAUGUCCGUCGCGAAGCUCAACAACGACUGACCAUGACCAGUACUCCAGACACUGCUGUCCUAGCCACCCAACGUCCAUAGGGUCCUUCGACUUCUAUCACUGGUGCUUCUCAGACUCAAGUCACAAGCUCUUGUAGGUUUUUUCCCACUGGGUUUUUCCAAGUAAGGUUUUAAUGAGGCAACCAAUCUAGGGACAUGUGGUCUUCAAAGGGGAGUGUUAUAAAGAAGUGAAGCUCAUAUAGAUAAAGGUAGAGGGUAUUAGUCAAAAGAUGGAGAUAAAGCUAGAGGGUAUUAGUCAAAAGAUGGAAUAAUGAUGUUGGGGAGAAAUCAUUAUGUCUCCCUUAAAGCCAUUUGCUUUGCCUAUAAAUAGGCAUUAUAUUUGUUUGUAAACACACACAAAUGAGAGAAGAGAAUAGAGUGAGAGUCAGAGAAAAGAGAAAGAGUGAAGUCUAUCUAAGGAGAAAUUCUGUCAGUGUAAACACCACAAAGAGAAAUAUAAUUCGACUCCCAAUAUUACAGUGGCACUUCUCAUACUCCAAUUAUUCUAGUUUUAUAACACGUUAUCAGCACGAUAGUCUCUCCUUUUUAUUUCUGAAUUUUUCCCAACUCAACACUAUGUGGUUAUUUCUCUGUCUCCUUUCUGUCAUAUGUCUGCUCUCACUUUACUACUACGAUGACAUGCAAACUUUCUUUUUUGUGUUCUCACAAUUUUUAUGUUGUUUCAUCCAUGCUUGUUUAAUUUACUUCUUUGUAACGUAAUUUGGAAUGGUGCGGUUUUUAUACCCCAUCCUGUUAUUUUAUGGUGGUGUAAUUUUUUACCCAUCGCGUUGUAACACAAAUUAUUAUAAUAAAAUGAUGGUGUGAUCUUAAAACCCAUCUAUUAUAUCUUGAAUAGUGGCGCAGUUAUAUUGCCCACAAUAUAUGAUAUAUUACGCACUUCAUAUAUAUUAGGUGGUGGUCUUUAUCCCCACAUUUAUUUUAUUUAUGGUAUGGAGUAGGUUUAUUACCCAUACGGCAAUAUUUAUUUAAAGGUGUGGCGCGGGUUUAUCGUCCACACAGCUACCUUUACUUUUAUUUAAAAAGUAUGGAGCAGUAUUAGUGCCCAUACAAGCACAUUUACUUUUAUUUAAAGUAUGAUGUGGAAUUAACCCUCAUACUUUAUGAAUUUACUUUACCGCACAUUUACUUUUAUUUAAAGUAUGACAUGGAAUUAACCCUCAUACUUUAUAAAUUUACUUUACCGCAUAUUUACUUUUAUUUAAAGUAUGGUGCGGAAUUAACGUCCAUACAGCAAGCAAUUUACUUUAUAAAUUUACUUUACCGCACAUUUAAUUUUAUUUAAGGUAUGGUGCGGGUUUAUCGUUCAUACAAGCAAAUUCAUAGCACUCUAUUUUUAUCAUCAAUUAAUAUACCUGAAUAAUGAGGGCCUAAAAUUCCUAUUAAUAAGUGGCUUAAUGUCCCAGAUCCCGAACCUAAAGUUUUGGAUGGCAAAUUUGGCAAAACUAGAGUUUGCUGUCUCGGAUCUUUCUGAGGACAACUAUUUAUCAUGGGUCCUGGAUGCCAAAAUCCAUCUACGAGCCAAUGGCCUCGGACAAACAAUUGUAGAUAAGAAUGAUGCUUCGCCUGAAGAGAAUGCGAAGGCCAUGAUCUUUCUUCGCCGCCACAUCCAUGAAGCGCUGAAGAGCGAAUAUGUGGUGGUUGAUGAACCAUUGGUUCUAUGGAAAGCUCUAGGUGAAAGAUACGAUCACUAGAGGAUGGUGACUCUCCCAAGAGCUAGAUACGAAUGGACUCACUUGAGAUUUCAAAAUUUCAAGUCAGUGUCCGAGUAUAACUCUGCUAUGCACAGAAUUACCUCAUUAAUGAGGCUAUGUGGUGAAAAUAUAUCUAAGGAGGAUAUGCUCGAAAAAACUCUGAGCACUUUUCAUCCUUCAAAUGUCCUCCUUCAGCAGCAAUACAAACAUAGCGGUUUCAAGAAGUACUCGGAACUUGUAUCUUGCCUCUUGUUAGCUGAGCAGAAUAAUGAGCUCUUAUUAAAGAAUCACCAAUCUCGCCCAACGGGCUCAGCACCACUUCCUGAAAUAAAUGCUGCAUCUCAGGAAGUGAAUGCCACUUCAUCUCGUGGCAGUAUCAACAAACGUGGGCAAGGGGGCAAGCGUGGCUGCUGGCAAGAAAGCAAAAAAGAUCGUGGUGCUCGUUCAGAUGGUUUAGUUCCAAGGAGCAGUCCAUCCACGAAUGGCAAAAAUUCAUCCCGUAAUAAGGGAAAGGCACAGACGAGCCAUGUGCCUAGCAAUGUUGAAAGCACUUGUCACAGAUGUGGUGCAAAGGGACAUUGGGUGCGCGCAUGUCGUACACCCAAGCAUUUGGCGGAUCUCUAUCAAGCUUCACUUAAGAACAGGAAAGUGGAGAUAAAUUACAUUGAUCAUGCUCCGCCAGCCACAGAUGGCUCAUCAAAAAUAUAAGACGCAUGUUUCUGAUUUUAUUACUGAAAGAGGGAAUGAAGCUUAUGGGUCUGAUUUCUUCUUUUUGAUUCAGCUUAUUUUACUUAUUUGAAGGCAUAGAUGUAAAUUAUGGAUGCCCUCAAAACAAAGGCUAUGGCAAAAAUAUUUGUCUCGCAGAUAGCGUGACUACUCAUACGAUCCUUCAAGAUCAGAAGUAUUUCUCAAAAUUAAUGCUUACAAAAGCAAAGGUAACAACCAUAUCAGGUCCUGCAGAUCUGAUUGAAGGCUCAGGAAUAGCCCAAAUUAUGUUACCAAAUGGAACAAUACUGUCCAUUCCAGAUGCUUUGUAUUCAUCUAACUCCAGAAGGAAUCUGUUGAGUUUCAAAGAUUUACGUUUGAAUGGCUACCAUGUUGAAACAAAGAAAGAGGAAAACAUGGAAUAUCUUUGCAUUACCUCCAGUGACACCCAAAAGCGUAUACUAGAGAAGCUUUGUGCGCUCUCAUCAGGGUUGUAUUAUACAAACAUACGGACAAUUGAGGCACAUAGUGUCAUGGACCAAGAGUCCAUCGACUCAAAUGUUUUUAAGCUUUGGCAUGACAGGUUGGGUCAUCCUGGAUCCGCCAUGAUGCGCAGGAUGAUUACCAACUCUAAAGGACAUCCCUUGUUGACUAAACACAUUAUGUUAUCAAGUGACAUCUUUUCCCAAGUUUGUUCACAAGGGAAGUUGGUGAUCAGACCAUCACAACCAAAGGUUGAUGUUGAGUCUCCAUCAUUUUUGUAGAGAAUUCAAGGGGACAUUUGUGGACCUAUUCAUCCCCCAUGUGGACCAUUUCAGUACUUUAUGGUCUUGGUGGACGCAUUUACCCGAUGGUCACAUGUUUGUCUUUUGUCCACUCGAAAUAUGGUAUUUGCUAGGCUUUUGGCUCAGAUAAUUAAAUUACAAGCCCAAUUCCCAGAUUAUCCCAUUAAGUCAAUCAAACUCGAUAAUGCUAGUGAGUUUACAUCUCAGACUUUUGAUGACUACUGCAUGUCACUAGGCAUUGACAUUGAACAUCCUGUUCCCCAUGUACAUAUUCAAAAUGGCUUGGCAGAAGCUUUAAUUAAGCGCCUUCAGUUGAUAGCACGCACUUUGCUAAUGAAAACAAAGUUGCCAGUUUCUGUUUGGGGAUAUGUCAUUUUACAUGCAGCAUCACUUGUGCGAUUGAGGCCCGUCGCCAACAAUCAAUAUUCUCCAAUACAACUCGUAUUGGGGAAUCAACCAAACAUUUCACAUUUAAGAGUUUUUGGGUGUGCAGUAUAUGUGCCCAUUGCACCACCGCAACAUACUAAGAUGCGCCCUCAACGCAGAUUGGGAAUUUAUGUUGGUUUUGAUUCACCAUCUAUCAUCAGAUAUCUGGAACCCCUGACGGGUGAUAUUUUUACCCACGAUUUGCGAAUUGUCAUUUUGAUAAGACAAUCUUCCCACCAUUAGGGGGAGAAAAAUCUGUGUCUAAAGAACAAGGCAAACUCAUUCCUGAAGAACGACAUGAAUUAUCGUGGAAUGUACCCACAUUGUCUCAUCUCGAUUCUCAUACUGCUCAAUGCGAAAACGAAGUGAGAAGGAUCGUUCACCUCCAAAGUAUUGCAAAUCAGAUGCCAGAUGCAUUUAAUGAUGCAGCAAAAGUGACAAAAUCUCAUAUCCCAGCUGCAAAUGCACCGCACGGAUUGAUGUCCAUAAUGGACAAAACAAUGUGCUAGCAAAUGGUUCAUCUGUUGCACGCCUGAAGCGUGGCAGACCACUAGGCUCAAAGGAUUCAGUUCCUCGAAAGAGGAAGUUGAUGGACAAAAUGAAUCCAAAUGAAAUAAAUAGAGAGCCCACAAUUCAUAAUUCAAAUGCCCCCAAAGAGGGACAGGUACUUCCUGAAAAGGAAAACGUCAUUGGUGAGACAAGUGCCCCUGGAGUGGCAACUGUACCUAAAAGUCAAGAAAUCUCCAUAAAUUAUACGUCCACGGAUGAAUUGUGGAAUAGAAAUGAGAUGAUCAUCGAUGAUAUAUUUGCAUUCUCAGUGGCUGCUGAGAUCAUAAAAAAUGAUGAUAUUGAGCCGUGCUCUAUUGAUGAAUGUACACAGAGGCAAGAUUGGCCUAAGUGGAAAGAUGCAAUCCAGGCAGAAUUAAAUUUUUUGGAAAAAAGGAGUGUUUUUGGACAUAUUGUUCCAACUCCACCCAAUGUGAACCCUGUAGGUUACAAGUGGGUAUUUACAAGAAAGCGCAAUGAGAAAAAUGAGAUCUCAAGGUAUAAAGCGCGACUCGUUGCGCAAGGUUUUUCACAAAAGCCUGGAAUUGAUUAUGUGGAAACGUACUCUCCAGUAAUGGACACAAUUACAUUCCGUUACUUAAUAAGUUUGACGGUUUCAGAAAAACUUGAAAUGAGACUCAUGGAUGUCAUUACCGCAUAUCUGUAUGGAGAAUUGGAUAUGAAAGUCCCAGAAGGAUUCAAGCUGCUUGAAGCAACCAGAAAUAAACCAUAGGGCAUAUUCUCAGUUAAAUUGAGAAGAUCAUUAUAUGGGCUAAAACAAUCUGGACGAAUGUGGUACAAUCGUCUCAGUAAGUAUUUACUGAAGGAAGGAUACACAAAUGAUCAUAUUUGCCCAUGUGUGCUUAUUAAGAAAUCAGAGUCUGGAUUUGCGAUAGUGGCAGUAUAUGUCGAUGACAUGAAUCUAAUUGGAACUUCUGAAGAGCUUCAAAAGACUGCUGAUUAUCUCAAACGUGAGUUUGAGAUGAAAGACCUUGGAAAGACAAAAUAUUAUCUUGGCUUGCAGAUUGAGCACAGUGCUAAUGGAAUUUCGGUGCAUCAAUCAACUUAUAUUGAAAAAGUAUUGAAACGGUUUGGCAUGGAUAAAGCCCAUCCACUUAGCACUCUAAUGGUCAUUCGGUCGCUUGACACUAAGAAAGACCCAUAUCGUCUAAAAGGGGAUGAUGAAAUGGUCCUUGGUCCAGAAGUACCAUAUCUUAGUGCAAUAGGUGCUUUAUUGUACCUAGCACAAUGUACCAGACCAGACAUAUCAUUUUCAGUAAAUCUGUUAGCAAGGUACAGUUCUGCUCCAACAAGGCGACAUUGGACCGGCAUCAAACAUGUUCUACGAUACCUUCGUGGGACAACAGACAUGGGCUUAUUCUAUUCCAGUGAAUCGACCAACGCCUAGAGUAUUGUUGGGUAUGCUGAUGCAGGAUAUCUCUCUGAUCCACAUCAAGGACGAUCACAGACUGGGUAUGUAUUUACAUGUGGAGGAACUGCAAUCUCAUGGUGCUCAAUGAAACAAACACUAGUGGCCACAUCUUCCAAUCACUCAGAAAUACUUGCCCUCCAUGAAGCCAGUCGUGAAUGCGUUUGGUUAAGGUCGGUGAUCCAUCACAUCCGAAGCACAUGUGCCCUACCCUCAGCAACAGACACUCUAACAAUCUUGAAUGAGAACAAUGCAGCUUGUAUUGCUCAGAUCACAGGAGGGUAUAUCAAGGGUGACAGGACUAAGCACAUAUCACCAAAGUUUUUCUACACACAUGAGCUCCAGAAGAGUCAAGAAAUCAAAGUCAGACAAAUCCGCUCAAGCGAUAACCUGGCAGACCUCUUCACCAAAUCAUUGCCGAAAUGUACAUUCCAAAAGUUAGUGCAUGGCAUCGGAUUACGACAACUCUACAAGCAAUCAAGUUGGAGCAUGCAAAAUCAGGGGGAGCAUUCAAGAGUCCUCUAACACAGGACAUAUGCUCAUUGUACUCUUUUUCCUUCGACUUGGGUUUUUCCCACCGGGUUUUUCCUAGCAAGGUUUUAACGAAGCAACAUGAGCGCAUUACCCUUAUGUCCCAAAUAAAGUUGUACUCUUUUUCUUUCGCUUAGGUUUUUUCCCACUAGGUUUUUCCAAGCAAGAUAUUAAUGAGGCAACCAAUCUAGGGACAUGUGGUCUUCAAGGGGGAGUGUUAUAAAGAAGUGAAGCCCACAUAGAUAAAGCUAGAGGGUAUUAGUCAAAAGAUGGAGAUAAAGCUAGAAGGUAUUAGUCAAAAGAUGGAAUAAUGAUGUUGGGGAGAAAUCAUUAUGUCUCCCUUAAAAGCCAUUUGCUUUGCCUAUAAAUAGGCAUUAUAUUUGCUUGUAAACACACACGAAUGAGAGAAGAGAAUAGAGUGAGAGUCAGAGAGAAGAGAAAGAGUGAAGUUUAUCUAAGGAGAAAUUCUGUCAGUGUAAACACCACAAAGAGAAAUAUAAUUCGACUCUCAAUAUUACAGUGGUACUUCUCAUACUCCGAUUACUCUAGUUUUAUAACACUUUCCUAAUUCUUUACUAUAUCUAAUUCCUUGUAAAACAUUCAUAUGUAAACUCCUAUAUAUACCUCCUUAUGGAGAAGAAUAAAGAACAACCCAAAAUAUUCAAACCAUAUUCAUAUUUUAGCAUAAUCAAGUGUUCAGAUUUUAACUAUUUUUUAUUUAAAAAAAUCCCCUAAAUGCAGAGGCUCUGUUCCAAGUUACCAUCCCUAAUUCUAUCGAUUGAUCCCUAAUUCUAUCAUAGUUGCUAUGAGUUUGGACAAAGGAAAUUUCCAACUUCAGAGUAGACACCUUUUUCACUCAUAUAAAGUUGCACCCAUUGGUCGUUAAACAAUCUUGGUCUUGGGGUCUUUUAUUUUUUAUUUUUCAUCAAAAGCUUGACUUUGAACAUGAGCAAGCCGAGUUUGAACUGGCUACUAUUUUGGUCCACAAAUCUUGGCCGGCAUGAAAAUGAUGCCCUGACCAAUCCUUUUACCUCUUCAAUGACUUAAAUUAAUUUCUCUCACAAGCUUGACUUUGAAGAGUUUAAUACUACUUCUCUAGGAUUUUCAGGCACCUCAGAUUCUCAAGCACAAAGAUAGAAUAAAGAUGUCAGAGUACCUUCCUCCAGAAAUCAUAACCCAAAUUCUUCUUAGGCUACCCAUCAAAUCUCUUCUUCAGUGCACCUCUAUCUGCAAAUCUUGGAACUCCCUAAUUAAACACACUAGAUUCAUCAACAACCACCUUAACCUCAAUUUAGACAAAACAAGC